CACAAGGUUCUCAGUUUAAUACAUUUGAUAAUGAUAGCUAUGCUGGUAACUUGGGGCUGUGUGGAAAUCCAUUGUCCAAAAAGUGUGAACCUGAUAUUGUGGAGAAAGAAAGUGACGAAGAUGAGGAUGAUGAUUACUUCUUUAGUGGAUUUACUUGGGAAGCGGUGGUGAUUGGAUAUGGGUGUGGAGUGGUGCCUGCAUUUAUCACUGGCUACCUGAUGUUGUUGGCACGGAAACCAAAAUGGUUUGCUGGAAUCAUUGGCAGGGAAUUGGGCCUGAAGAUCAGGAGGAUGGAGAUUAGAAUGCGAUAACUAAAGGUUUGCUGUAAUCUAUAUCCCAUUUGUAGGUCUUCAAUAUUCAGUAAUAAUAUAGUAAUAUCUGCUAUCAUAUAAUUCUAUAUUUGCAGAUUGGAGAGGCAUGAACAUUUUGGCAUGUAAGUUGAUGGGACAAGCAGGAUUCAGAUGCACAUGAAUCAACUACUUCGGUGUUGUAGGCAGCUAGGUUAAUAAACCACUACUUGAGCUGUUAAGCAUCUUUGGUCAUUUUAAAUAUAAAUUGUACAAUAAAAGAUACUUACUCUGCACAUAUUCUAAGUUCCAUAUACAAGUUCUGUAUUGUUUAGUUACUCUGCACAAACUCUAAGUUAGUUUCAACCACUGGGGUGUAAGCAGCCAAGUUAAUAAACCAGCAGUUUCUGUAGCUUUCACAACGUUGCUUCAUAUUAUUUUCCCCCUUGUUAGAUGAGCAAUAUAUUUGUGGAAUGGAUGUACCUGAAUUUGGUAUCCGAAGCUUAGUUAUAGAAAUUGUAGAUCAGCUAGUUUGCAACUUACUGGAAUGCUUUCCAUUGGACUUGAUUUACUCGUAGAGAAGCAGCACGCAAUGUUAAGGAAGGCCUGAUACAUAAUGUAUUUAAGAUAAUGUUUUGCAUCAAUUAUUACAAAAAGCUACUACUUUAAAUUGAUGAACAUUUACUAUAGCAGUACUGUGGUAUUAAAGUGAGUACUAAUAUUAGUGGCGGAGGCAGAACACAAUGUUAGGGGGGCACUUUUUAAUUUUUAACAUUCUAGGGGCAAUUUUUAACAUUCCAGGGGACACAAAAAAUAAUAUUUUGUAGAUUAAUAUUAUCAAAUAGAGUUAAGUUCUAUGGAGUACAUAAAAACAUUAGAGUAUUGGAGUACAAAUCAUAAUUUUUUUUAGUUUGAUUCUAUAUAAUAUCUUUGAAUAUCCAAAUUUUGAUAUAAUCUAUCAUUUAUAAGUUGUGUUGCACAUAAUUGUCAAUUAAUCAUUAAUAUCUUUCAACUUUAACAAAGAUUAAGAUUAUUGUUCUGCUUAUUAGUUAUAUUGCAGAACAUAGAGUCCUAUGAUUUAUAAAAGUAAUUAUUCUACCAUUUGAUCAUGAUGUUUAUGUUGCAGAACAUAAUGUGCAGGUUGUCAAAUAUUUACAAAUAUUAUUGGACAAAAAAAUUGAAAUUUAGAUGACUAAAUUACAUUUUAUCAAACUUUGUACUCCAAUACUCCAAUUUUUUUUUGUACUCCAUAGAACUUAACUCUUAUCAAAUAUAUGGAUCUUAUAUAAAAACAUACACAUUUUUCUGAAACUUAUGAGGGCAUGGGCACCCAGAGGCCCCCAUGUCCCUCCGCCUCUGCUAAUAUAAGAUGUUAGUCGAGUUCGAAGAAGUUUUGGAAUUCUUUUUAUUGAGAGUUUUUGCAAAACGUGGUUAGGAAAUUGAGAAUUUUGAGUUUUAAAAUUAGCUGUAAAAAAUAAUCGGUCAAUUGUAUUAGAUAUUACAUGCAUUUGAGUUUUAAAAUUAGGUGUAAAAAAUAAUGGGUCAACUGCAACAGAAAUGAAUUGGUUUGGUUUCACCCGGAAGAGUUCUGCACUUCACACUCUAGAUUCCAGAAAUAAAAAAAUUCAAAUAUAAAAUGUCAAAUAUUUUAGUUUAUACUCCCUCCGUCCAUUUUAGAUUUUUAGUUGUCACUGCCGGUCAAAUUGACCAAAAUUUGACUAAAAUUUAUUAAUAUUUUAUUAAUUGAAAAAAUAAAAAAAUUAUGUUACCACAAAUUACUUUCAAUCUACAUGAAAUUUUCAAUUUUUUAAAAUAAUGAAGAAGUAACUUGUAAUCUUUGAUCAAAAAUUAGUUAAUUUGACAUAAAAAAAAAAUUGUUACAACUAAAAUGGACCAAGGAAGUACAUAAGAUUUGCUAGUUACCUGCUUACCUUCACUCCUUAUGUCUUAAGCCACUCUUUAUUAUUUUUGAUUACAUAAUAAAUAUGUUUAAACUUUUAACUUUUUAUAUUUAAUAAAUUUAUAUAAUUUAAUUAUUAAAUUUUUUGAUUUGUAUUAAGUUUAAUUUAUAGAUACAUUUAUAUCAAAAUUACUAAAAUCAAUCAAAAUUUUAAUAUUUUGAUUCAGUAACCAGAAUAUAAAUAUAUUUAACUUUUGAAAUGAUAUAUAAAUAGUUUAUGAUUAAAAAAAAUUAAUAAGUAACUUGCACAAUUUCUCUUAAUUACAGUAAUAAAUCUCUUAUUAGUACUUUCAACUAAAUAUUUCUCCCAAACACUUAUAAUUUAUGUCCAAUUUUCAUAUUAUUUCUUUUAGAAAGAUUGUUGUAUUAUUUUAAAUUUUAGUAAUUAAAUCAGUUUUAUUUUUAUGAAUUCCAAAUUUAAAAACCUUAAUAUUUUUGUCACGCUACUUCUUAUUUGUAAUACAAAUUAUUUCUAGAUAAAAUUAAUAUAUUAAUAAAUAUAGUGUAAUUAACUACAUAUAAUACAUUGAAAUUAAAUAAAUAUGCUCUGUACAUUUUUUUCACAUGCAAAAAACUGCACUGUUUCGGUUUAAGCAAAGCUUGAUAAUCAGGACUCCUAGCUGGAAUGGCGAGUAUUAUUCCUACGAAGAAGAUGAUGUUCAUGAUAUCCCUUCACCCCCAAAGACAAUGAAUUGGAGCAUGAAUUCUGAUUACUGUGCAUGUGGGAUGGAGUUAGCUGCGACGAGAAUACAGGGGACCUAACCGGACUGGAUUUAAGCUGCAGUCAUCUGGUGCAUUGGAAUGAAAUUAUAGAACUUCUUCAGAGCCUGAUGCUCUCGAGGAUGCAGUAAUGAACAAGCCUAAUGAUGAUCAUGAGUCAUAACUCCGUCCUCGAGAGCCUGAUGCUCUCGAGGAUGCACUAAUGAACAAGCCUAAUGAUGAUCAUGAGUCAUAACUCCGUCCUUGAAUAAAGUGUCAUGAAACAUAUUUUGUAUUACAUUUUGUAUUAUUGGAAACUUGAUUUGAAACCAAAAUAGUUUGGUGGAAUCAUUGCCAGGGUAUUGGGUCUGAAGAUCGAGGAUGGAGAAUAAAUUGAUUUUGUUCAAAUAUUUAACACAAGCCCAUCAUCAUUAUCCAACACAAGCCCGGUCCAGUAUAGAGUUCUGGCAACUCCAUUGUUGAACACUUCUGUUGAAGUUGGCCUGUCUGGCAGACAAGAGGCCCUGUUUUAGAGGUGAUAUAUGCGCACAGGUAAAAAAUGUAUAUUUCUUCCAAUAGAUUACAUCUCUUUUCUUCAAAAUUUAUUGUAGUUUCAAAAAGUAGCAUUUGAGAACUCAUUCUAUUCCCCUUUUAAAUACUUGGUCUUGGUCAAUACAAACACGAUUAAGACCGGUGUCAAUAUCCCUCAUAAUUUUUCCACUCCUUUGAAUGGCAUUCUACAAUCCACAUAUCAGACUCAUAAAUAAUUAGUUGAAAUCAUUACCAUAGUCCAUAGCGAAAAGACUUUCACCAUUGAACCAUUGCAUAGAUAAUUGAAGAAAGAAACUUCAACAUAUUUGCAUAUCUUUAUCUAUCUUUUUUUCUAGUCAUCAACAGGCACAAGCUGUUGAUUUUUAUAUGUUCUUAAUUGGUAUAAGCAUUUAAGGUGAGUGUUGAUAUUUCUCACUAAUCUUCUUCUGCUCUAAGUGACAUAUUAUUACAAUCCACAAAUUAGUAGACAGACUAAUAUGGUUAGUUGAGACCAUCAAUCUGGAGAACAGACUAAUACAUGUGUAGUAAUCUGAUCAUCAUUUAUUUGAUUACAAUAGAAAUUCGGCUUUGUUUAGUUCCAUCCUCGGGCUCUUCAUUUCUAAACAUAUUUGCUGAUACUUUUUAUUGUACAAUUUAGAAUAUUCCAUAAAAUUUUAUAUUCGGUGCUAGAUGAAUUUAUGUCUUGUUUUCAUUCCAUUCAUGAACUAAUGAAAAUUUUAAAAUUGGGUCAUAUUAGGCAGUGAUGCCACCUUUCUGGACCUGCAUUUCAUGACCACAAACUCCUAUUGUGCCAAAAAAUUCCAGCUGUUUCGUGAGAUUUUUCUACGUGCUCUUUUGUUCGGACUUGUUUGCUGAAUCCCACAAUAGACAAUAUUGAUGUUAACAACUCUUGCGUCAGUUACUAGACUCGUUGUUAGUAGCCCAUUCUUUACGGCAGACGUGGAAUUUACUUGAAGAAAUGAAGGUGUAAGAACAGGGGCGGAUCCAGCCUUCGCAUCUCACCCGGGCUGAAAGCCUGAAACACUUAUAACCUUGAAGGUAUACAGUGGAGGUGAAGAGGGGAAAAAAAUAUAUAUGGUACUGACAGUGACAUGGAAAUAUGGAUAUUAUUCUUUUAACCUGCUGCAGGGACUAUCAGCUGGUAAAUUCAUGUCAAAUCAAUUUUUUUGACNGCCGAGACGAGUCGGCGAGACGGCCGAGACGAGUCGUCGACGUGCGAGACGAGUUGGCGCGAGACGGGCGAAGCGAGACAUCUCCGAGACGAGUCAUGCGUGCGUGCCGAUACGUACGAGCCGAGACGAGGCGUCCACGUUUUCUCAAACCCAGGCUCGUGAUCGCCUCGUCUAUUUNACUAUAACUAAUAAUUCAUGUCAAAAUCAAGAUUAUAAAAAUUAAUAAUAUGACUACAAAAAUAAAAUAUAAACGUAAGGUAAUAACAUAUGGUAAACCUGAAUAUAUUUUAGUAACAAUUGUUUUGACAUAGUUAGAUUAAGGGAUUAAAUUAUUAUAUAAAAUAAUAAAAGUAGCUAUAUAUUAAAAAAAUAAAGCUAUAUUUAUAUAAUUAGUUUAAACACGUCAAAAGGUCAAAAAGCAAGAUUAAACCGCUUAGCUUAUAUAAACACCAUGACCGACUGUUUGACCUAAACUAAACAAAUUUAUAUUUAAAAUACAAAAUUACAUGAAUAAAACCGAAAUAGGGUUACAAUUCAUAAAAGUUAACAGCAACUCUGGUUAAUUAAUAAAGUUCCAGACCCAAAACUGAGAAAAGUGUCGGGCUUUUUAAAAUUUUAGACCGGGCUAAAGAUCAGUAAACUUUCGUCGAGGCUGGUAAAAUUUUUUGUAUCAUAAAACUCACCCGGGCUUUAGCCCACCGGAGCCCAUACAUAGAGAAAGUUGAGAACAUUUUGUUGAUUAUUCCCUUCCCUAGAAACUGCACUCCGCCAUCAAAGUACCUUUCAAAGACUCCAGCAUCAUUUCUUGAUUAUCAAAGUCUUCGUCUUUGUCAUCUCCUGCUCUGAAAGUGUUUCUAUUGCAGACCACAUAUUAGUAGACAGACUACUAAAAUUCAUCUAAAAUGACCUCUCUGCGUGGGCUCUUUUGAACAAUCAGGGUUGGACAUGAUUCUACACGCAUCAGAGAAAAACUAUCAGCUGGCUAAANUCUUCAAAAUUUAUUGUAGUUUCAAAAAGUAGCAUUUGAGAACUCAUUCUAUUCCCCUUUUAAAUACUUGGUCUUGGUCAAUACAAACACGAUUAAGACCGGUGUCAAUAUCCCUCAUAAUUUUUCCACUCCUUUGAAUGGCAUUCUACAAUCCACAUAUCAGACUCAUAAAUAAUUAGUUGAAAUCAUUACCAUAGUCCAUAGCGAAAAGACUUUCACCAUUGAACCAUUGCAUAGAUAAUUGAAGAAAGAAACUUCAACAUAUUUGCAUAUCUUUAUCUAUCUUUUUUUCUAGUCAUCAACAGGCACAAGCUGUUGAUUUUUAUAUGUUCUUAAUUGGUAUAAGCAUUUAAGGUGAGUGUUGAUAUUUCUCACUAAUCUUCUUCUGCUCUAAGUGACAUAUUAUUACAAUCCACAAAUUAGUAGACAGACUAAUAUGGUUAGUUGAGACCAUCAAUCUGGAGAACAGACUAAUACAUGUGUAGUAAUCUGAUCAUCAUUUAUUUGAUUACAAUAGAAAUUCGGCUUUGUUUAGUUCCAUCCUCGGGCUCUUCAUUUCUAAACAUAUUUGCUGAUACUUUUUAUUGUACAAUUUAGAAUAUUCCAUAAAAUUUUAUAUUCGGUGCUAGAUGAAUUUAUGUCUUGUUUUCAUUCCAUUCAUGAACUAAUGAAAAUUUUAAAAUUGGGUCAUAUUAGGCAGUGAUGCCACCUUUCUGGACCUGCAUUUCAUGACCACAAACUCCUAUUGUGCCAAAAAAUUCCAGCUGUUUCGUGAGAUUUUUCUACGUGCUCUUUUGUUCGGACUUGUUUGCUGAAUCCCACAAUAGACAAUAUUGAUGUUAACAACUCUUGCGUCAGUUACUAGACUCGUUGUUAGUAGCCCAUUCUUUACGGCAGACGUGGAAUUUACUUGAAGAAAUGAAGGUGUAAGAACAGGGGCGGAUCCAGCCUUCGCAUCUCACCCGGGCUGAAAGCCUGAAACACUUAUAACCUUGAAGGUAUACAGUGGAGGUGAAGAGGGGAAAAAAAUAUAUAUGGUACUGACAGUGACAUGGAAAUAUGGAUAUUAUUCUUUUAACCUGCUGCAGGGACUAUCAGCUGGUAAAUUCAUGUCAAAUCAAUUUUUUUGACUUUAUAUAUAUAUAUACUCAUUUACAUAUAAAAAAAAUAUAAAAUUUAAGAAUCUCAAAUAUUGGAGGUAGCCUGAAUAACAUUUGUUUGUCACUAAUACAAUAAAAAUUAAUUUUGUAUGAUCAGCUACAUAGACUAAAUCAUUUUAUUUUAUUUAUUUUAAACUAUAACUAAUAAUUCAUGUCAAAAUCAAGAUUAUAAAAAUUAAUAAUAUGACUACAAAAAUAAAAUAUAAACGUAAGGUAAUAACAUAUGGUAAACCUGAAUAUAUUUUAGUAACAAUUGUUUUGACAUAGUUAGAUUAAGGGAUUAAAUUAUUAUAUAAAAUAAUAAAAGUAGCUAUAUAUUAAAAAAAUAAAGCUAUAUUUAUAUAAUUAGUUUAAACACGUCAAAAGGUCAAAAAGCAAGAUUAAACCGCUUAGCUUAUAUAAACACCAUGACCGACUGUUUGACCUAAACUAAACAAAUUUAUAUUUAAAAUACAAAAUUACAUGAAUAAAACCGAAAUAGGGUUACAAUUCAUAAAAGUUAACAGCAACUCUGGUUAAUUAAUAAAGUUCCAGACCCAAAACUGAGAAAAGUGUCGGGCUUUUUAAAAUUUUAGACCGGGCUAAAGAUCAGUAAACUUUCGUCGAGGCUGGUAAAAUUUUUUGUAUCAUAAAACUCACCCGGGCUUUAGCCCACCGGAGCCCAUACAUAGAGAAAGUUGAGAACAUUUUGUUGAUUAUUCCCUUCCCUAGAAACUGCACUCCGCCAUCAAAGUACCUUUCAAAGACUCCAGCAUCAUUUCUUGAUUAUCAAAGUCUUCGUCUUUGUCAUCUCCUGCUCUGAAAGUGUUUCUAUUGCAGACCACAUAUUAGUAGACAGACUACUAAAAUUCAUCUAAAAUGACCUCUCUGCGUGGGCUCUUUUGAACAAUCAGGGUUGGACAUGAUUCUACACGCAUCAGAGAAAAACUAUCAGCUGGCUAAAGACCUCUCUGCAUCAACUCUAUUAAGAAAAGAAACUAUGGCUCAUACAGUUUAAGUUGAUAUCAAAUCGUAAAUGAGAAUACUUGCAGUUUUAAAUUACUGCACGCUAUUUUUUUUAACGAAAAUAUGUGCAGUUUUAACAUAGUCUAAUUAUUUUCUUGAUGACGGCUAUGCAAAUUGUGAUAGUUGAAUUUUUUUUAUGGUCUUUGACAAGCAUCAAGGAAAUUGUGAUAGUUGAAUUACCCUGAUUGUCAAAAACUACCUCGUAAUCAGAACGGGUUUUUUUUUGAGUUUGUUAAGGAUUCUCUCCAGGCAAAAGUUUCUCUUAUGCAGUUGAAGGUGAAAAUUAAGUCGUUGAAGAGGAAAUAUAAGUCUCUCAAAGAUUAUGAUGUUGUGUUUGACAAACCCAUGGAAGAGGAAUUGUUUCGCCUUUCCGAUAAGGUUUGGAGCCAAGGGAUUGAUAAUCAGGGUAAUGCUGCUAGCAAGGACAAGGAUAUAAGUAUCGAGAUCAAAGAGGAUGGAGUGAUUGAGGACUGUAGGAAGGAUAAGGAUACGAGCAUUGGGAUAAAUGAGGAUGGAGUGAAUGAGGCCGGUAGGAAGGAAAAGGAUACGAGAAUCGGGAUAAAUGGGGAUGGAGUGAAUGAGGACGGUAGGAAGGACAACGAUAUGAGCAUCGGGAUAAAUGGGGAUAUGGUAGAAGCCUCCAGGCUAAUGUGUCGAAGGGGAGGACAUGGAUGCUAUGGAAAUUUAGUUAGGAGGAAAUAUAAAUCAUGCUAACAGGAGCAGAUGAUGAACUUGAUUGCAAUGAAGAACUGAAGUUCCACAACGAGAUGAAGUCGACGAAGGAAGGUAGGAAGGACAAGGAUACGAUCAUCAGUCUUGUAUUUAGCUUGAUCGAAAAUAACUGUUCUCUUCAAAUUCUUUCCCUNUCUCUACUCUGUAGCUUACACAUCAUUGAUUCAUAUUAUUUUCCCUUAGGAACUUGAGAGACAUUUGGCAUCUAAAGAAGCUUCUCUCCCGCAAGAACCAUCACCAGAUGAUGAUAAUGCCGUUAACCUGCUUGUGCGGAUGCCGGAUGGCGGCCGGCAAGGCCGCAGAUUCCUCAAGUCCCACAAGCUUCAGGUAUUUAUUCCGUGACAAUAUUUUUCCAGUUAUUGGUUAAAAGUUGUAUAAUUGGUUGUUACUUGAUUUGCAGCAUCUUUUUGACUUCAUCGAUGUUGGUCGGUUGGUCAGACCUGGUACUUACAGACUGGUAAUCCUUCAUGUGCUUUUUUACCUUUCACACUUAAUUCUUGUGGGGGCACACUUAUAUUUUUACAAAGUUUUAAAUGACGAAUAAAUUCCAAAUAAUUUUUAUGGGGGACAGUCCCCCUUGCUAGAUCCCCUCCUGGUGUCCAAACUUUUUUUACAUUUCAUAAUUGAUUGUCUGGACCGGCAAAGAGCAAUGAAUAUUCAUUUUAGUCACAUAGGAGUGUCGGGGUUUGUAUUGUUGUUAUGCUUGAUAGUAUAUAGAGAGCUUAUUGACUAGUUGACUCAACAUCGUUUCUUUUUCCUUUCCCCCAUCUUCUCUGGUGAUUAAUGUUUGCGUGAUCCCACUAGUCCUUCCGCAAAAAAAAAAAGAAGUUAUAUUGUAUUUUUAAAAUGAAUUGCAUUUCAAACUAUUUGUUUGAUAAGUAGGGUACUCGUGUAAUUUAAUUGUAAUAUCGAUACCUUUUUUUGUAACACCAAAGAAAAAUUAGAAUCUUUAUAGUGUCAGGACUCUUGAUACUUGGUAGAUGCUUGAGAAGAAGGCUGUAUUUGAAGAUAUGGAGAAUGUGGUAACCAUAUGACUAAGGUCAACUAACUUUUGCUUGCUAAAGUGGAACUCUGUCAAAAAUUUAUCUGUAUCUAUCUCUUUUUUGUAGUCAUCAGUAGAUUUACUCUUCCAUAUGUAUCAGGGUCAAGUUGUUGAAAUAUAUCAGUCCUUAAUAGGUGUUAGCACAAUUUAGAUGAGCAAAAUAUUUAAGGAACGUAUGUACUUCAACUUGGCAUGCAAAACGAGUUAUACAAAUGGUAGAUUAGCUAGUUGGUAAUUUAAUGAGAAUCCUUUCCAUUGGACUUGAUUCAUUGAUAGAGAAGCAAAGCACAAUGUUACUUCCUGAUACAUAAUGUAUUUAUGCCUCGUAUAGAUAUAUUAUGAUUGUUAGAAUUAAACAUGUUUUAUUUUGCACAGGCAAGGCCGUAUCCAAGACGGGCUUUUGGUGUUGGUGAGAGCUCAACAACUUUUGAUGAACUUGGCCUGUCUGGCAGACAGGAGGCCUUGUUUCUGGAGUUAAUAUAGCAGAUAUAGUUAUCGUAAAAUUGUAAUAGGAUCUCGAAGAGUUUACCCAGAUGGACCAACUUUGUUUGUUAGUUGUAAAAGUUGUUUAGAGAUGGAUAUUUUGUCAAAGUUUGUAUCUAUUGGGUAUUUGGUCUUUUAGUCAGACUGUGGCUCAUACAGUUUGAAGUUGAUAUCAAAUCUUAGAUGAGAAUGUUUGCAGUUUGAAAUUACUGAACAUUGUUUCUUGAAUUCGAUAUCGAAUUUUAAACGAGAAUAUGUCCAGUUCCACUACAAGAGAAAGCGAUUCUACCAAUGGAAUUUGCUAAGGGAAAUUAGUCCGUUGGUAGUUCCCAACGGAUUUGUAAUGAUUUGACUAGUCAAUGUUCUGCCAACCAAGUCGCAACGAAAUACCCACGUUUAUUUACCAACGAAACGUUCCGUUAAGAAAUAUAACCACAUAAUGGAAUAGUAACAAAAGGCCAAGGAAUGAGCAACAGACUAGUAACGAAAAUAUCUGUUAUUACGUUCAUUGAUAUUCCGUUGAUAAAUACUAACAAUUCCGUUAGUAAUUGAUUAUUAGUUUUAUAACAUGGACAAUUGAUAUACACUACAUGAGCAGUCUCUUAUUUGACAUUUGUGUCAUGCUAAAGCCCAAUGGGCUUUAGUCGAUUAAAUUGAUUUGGGUUGUAGAAAACGGCCAAUAAUAUAAUGGACUUUGAUAUGUAUCGUAAAUAUUAAGUAAUUUUCUUGGAUUUAUGUAUAUAACAUAAUUGUUAAUUGGCUCAUCCUUAACUAGAAAUUUUAUAUUACAUUCUUAACUAGAAAUUUUAUAUUUAAAAAAAAUUAAUCUUUUAUGUGGUAUGUGGAUUUUGUAGUCAAAUGCGGUCAAUUUACUUAGCCUUUGAUCGGAUACCUACCCAAAACAUAAAAAUAUUUUUUAUUUUCGAUGAUCCAGCUAUACGGAUAUUAUUGUAAUGUGAUAAUAUUGAUUAAAUUUUUUUUUAAAAAAGUAGCAUUUUAUUUGGUAUGUGAAUUUUGUAGUCAAAUGCAAUUAAAUUACUUAGUCUCUAAUGGAAUACUUGCCCGAAACAUAAAACUAUUUUCUUAAAACACAAUUUGGACGAUCCAACCAUACAGAUGUUAUUAUAACGUGUUAAUAUUGGUUAAAAUAAUUUUUAAGAAUAUAUGUCUUUUAUUUGGUGUGUGGAUCUUGCAGUCAAAUGCGGUCAAAUUACUUAGCCUUCAAUCGAAUACUUACCCAAAACAUGAAACUGUUUUUUUAAAAAUCAUUUCGGACGAUCCAACCGUACGGAUAUUAUUGUAAUGUGAUAAUAUUGAUUAAAUUUGUUUUUGAAAAAUUUUAGCUUUUGAUUUGGUGCGUGGAUUUUGUAGUCAAAUGCGGUCAAACUACUUGGCCUUUAAUGAAAUACUUACACGAAACAUGAAAUUAUUUUUUUUUAAAACCAUUUUGGAUGAUCCAACCGUGCGGAUGUUAUUAUAACGUGUUAUAUUGAUUAAAAUAUUAUUUAAAAAAUAGCCUUUUAUUUGGUGUGUGGAUUUUGUAGUCAAAUGCUCAAAUUACUUAGCCUUUAAUCGAAUACUUACCUUAAACAUGAAACUAUUUUUAAAAAAAUUAUUUUGGAUGAUUCAAACUGUAGGGAUGUUAUUUUAACAUCUUAAUAUUGAUUAAAAUUAUUUUAAAACAAUUUAGUUUUUUUUUAUGUGUGAAUAUUUUAGUCAAGUACGAUAAAUUAUUUAUUUAGCCUUCAAUGAAAAAUUAAAAAUCCCGCACAGCCAAAAGUUUUCCCUCGUUUUGUGAAUCUUCCCCAGCCAUUUCCCCCCAACCCCAACCCCGAAAUUCACAAAACUCUCCCCCCAAAUUAGCUCGGCCUCUCCCAAAUCUCUAUCUCUCUUUGUAUAUCUUUAGGUGUGUUUUGUAGAGGCGGCCACCUCCAAAGCUUCAAAAUAAUCAAACUUAUCACCGCCGCUGUUCGAGAAUGAAUUUCUUUUAGGAGAUUCGUCGAUUUAGUUAUCAAAUUAGUUACCAUUAGGGUUCUACUCCGAUUUUCAAUAGUAUGAUGUUGGGGUUCGAUUGGUCGAUUGUCAUGUUUUAUAAGUUAUGUGGGUUCGAUUUUGAUGUUUUUACAAUUAGGUUUAUGUAUGUUUUUAUACGGGUUUCAUGUUCAUGUUUCGAUUUGUUGAUUUCCUAUUUUUCCUAUAUGUUAAUUUGUUAUUUGUGUGGAUUUUGGAUUUUGAUGUGUGUGUGUGUAAUGCCCUGUUUUUUUUUCAUUUUUUCAGGUUCGAACACUUCGAUUAGUAGCCGGAAAAACAACUGAUGCGGCAGUAGCGGCUAGCAAGGAGAUGAAUAACAAGAAAAGGCCGAUUUCGAGGUCAUCUCGUGCAAGUCUUCAGGUAUAGUUUUAUUCCUUUAUAUUUUUAAUCGACAUAAAUCUAACAAGUAAUUAUAGUUCUAACAAGUAAUUAUAGUUCUGAAUGGGGAGCUUAUUGUGAAAUUGAAUUGAGGGACAAGUUGUGUUAUUGGUUCCAGUAGAUAAAUUUAUGUUGACACUUGAUAUAUGCAUUUUUCCACUAUGAUGCUCCCUUUGGUUUGCUUAAGGUCAAGUACCGUUACUUAAUGCAUUUACAAGUAUUCCAGAACAAGUUUGUGCGCCAUAGUGCUACCUUAAUCUAUGAAUUUGAUGCCAGGCACUUUAGGUGUUAUCUCUUAUUGAUUUUUUAUUGGAGAGUUUGGGUGUUUUCUGGAAGAAGUAUAUAGUGAGAGCAGAGGUUUUCAUUUUCGUCAUGAUUUACUCUAAUGUUUCUAAUGUUCACCUGUUAACUGCUGUAGAUUUGGGCUUUAUCUAUUUCUACAUAAUUUAUUUUUGUCUUUGUUGCUGCUUCUUGAUAAUUUUCAAUAAUUGAAACUUUUGUUACAAAUAUAUGCUUGCUAGUCAAUUGUAUGUAGAAAUCUCUAACAAAACUUUAACUUUUACCUUUGAAAUUUAGUUACGAAUUUAAAGAAUUUGACUAGAACUUCAGUCGGUGGAUUCUUGACAUUUUUAUGUAAAUCAUAUAGUAUUCAGGAGUUACCCUGUAAAAUGCCCACAAAUCUUAAAUUAAUUAGAAGUCAAGUAAUAAGCUUAAGGCCUCUGAGACUGUGUCUGCAUUCUAGAUUUCAAUACAUUCUAUAUCAUAAUGUUGUUAAACUGCUUUUUAGCAAGUGCUUGAGUUUUUGGUAUCUACAUAUAAGAUUAUCUAAGAUAUCAAUUUAUUCAUGAGAGCAGGUUGAUGACAAGUACCGAUACAUGUGUGAAAAAAAAAAAGAUAACAUGGUCCAUGGAGUUGGUUCUUUGCAAUCUCUCUUUUAUAAGCCGGAGAUUCCUUGCAGUCCAUCCUUUGCUGAUGCAGAAAAUCAGAAGUUGCACGAAGAACUAAAUGUGAUGAAGGAUAAGAUGAAAGCAAUGGAGAAUCAAAUAGCUAUGGUUGUGUUAGUACUAGCUAGUUUUCAAGCCUCGUUAGUAAUUGAUGGCUCCUUUUAGAUAUAAUACUUGAACACUAUUGUAUCGGGUAACUCUUAUCUCAUUUUGAAGAUCGUAAAGAAACGUUUAUUAUGUAAAAAGAGUACACUUUUGUUAUUUCUUUAUUUGCAUUUUUAUAGACAUAAAAAUGAACAAUUCUAGAAAAUGAAAAAUUUGCACUGUAUUUGAGCAUGCAUACCAACAGAAUAUGUUUAUAUCUACUAACGGAAAUUUAACAACCGAAAGAGUCUUUUAGUUCUUUGUUGUUAAAUUUAACAAUUUUGACUAUACUUAACAUCAGAUUUUCCGUUGGGAAUAUGUUGCUAGAAUUGCCAACCGAAUAUUCUGUUGGCGGGAUGGUGUUUCUUUUGUUAUUUUGCAAAAUAGAGGUCUGUUACGAGAUUGUUACUACUCGGUUGCUAACUUAGCAACGGACACCUAAUUCGGUUGGCGAGGUGCUUCCCAACGACGUUUACUCUAACGGUCCAGUUCAGUGGGCAUUCCGUUAGGAAUCUCUUUUACCAACGGAUUUUCUUGAUUUGCCAACAUAAUAUUUCGUUGGGAAUAAUGAAAUUUCUUGUAGUGUUCUAACUUGAAAGUUAUGCAAAUUACGUUAAUAAUAUCAUCAAUUUUGAGUCUCUUGGUCUUCGGUCUUCUAUUGCAGCAUAUCAUACACUUCUCAAGUGAUUGAAAAUGAACUCUCUCCAAAAGGCAAGGGGUCUGUCGAAGUAGACCUGGAAUUGAUUUUACUUGAAGAAACAAUAAUAGUUCACCUUUUAAAGUUUUGGUCUUUGUCUUUUGUCUCUCAAAGUCUUGAUCUUUGUCGUUUACAUCUCAUACAAUUUGCUAUCGUAUUGAACACUUCACACAAUUUCAUACUAUCGUAUUGAACACUUCACACUUCACACAAUUCCAUAAUAUUGAAGAUUUUUGGCUUGAAAUAUUCUAGAGAAUAAGAUUGUACAUAAAAUCCAACAAUUUAUUUCCUUUUCUACAAUAUUACAACUCAUAUAUUUGUUGCCAAUGACUCAUUCAAUUCGCAUCAAUUACUAUCAUCUUCACUUUAUCAAAGAGUCUUGCUCUUUGUCCUCUACAUGCUUUUAUCACGGUCCCCAUGUUAGUGUGAUUUGAAAAUACUUGUGUUACAGUCCACAUAUUGAUAAAUAGACAAAUUAUAAUAUUUAGUUCAUUAAUGAAUAGAUAAGACGUUCAUGUGUAUGUAUUUGAAAAAUAAAAUAUUAUGAAGCUAAAUGAAUAAACACUUCUGAAGAGUAAAACGCGUUUCUGGUCCAUUUUGUAGCUUGAAGAAAUGAAGCAGAAGUCAAGAUUUUCUUGAAGAAACGAAAUUUUAUAAAAGUUAAAAACAAUUCGAUAAUUAUUGUCUUUUCAAAAAACGGGGCACGCAACACUCUUUUAUAUCAUCUUUCAAUUCUUAGAGUCUUCCUUCUGCUACUCCAAAAGUGGUUCUAUUAUAGGUCACAUAUUAAUAGAUCGAUACAAAUUUAUUAAAAAGAUCCUUAUUUUCAACGAUCAAUAUCAGUUUGACUAUAAAUUUAUCUGAAAUGACCCUUGUUAAUGGACUCUAGCUUAUAGGGUCAAACUUGGCUAUACAUGCCUCGGAGAAAAUUCAUCAGUUCGUAGAAGAGACCUUUCUGCAUCAACUCUAUGAAAAAUGCAGCACUUAUCAUCUAAAUAAAAAUUAGUAAGACUAUCUUAGAUUCUCUGAAGUGUUUAUAUUGCAGCCGCUUGUAUUGAAUACACACAUAAAUAACCACACAUAAUCAGGAAGGUUCGAAAUUUUUUGGUUUAACCAUAUCACCAACAUGAAGAAAAGACUUUCAAGCGUCAUAAUAGCUAAGAGCAUCUCCAACGGCAUUGGCUAUAAUCGUUGGCUAAAUUAGACAUGUAAGACAUUAUGUAAAAUUUGCUGAACCUGUAAGACAUUUUGCUUCAAUGGUAUUGGCUAUAUUAAUUAGUUGGCUAUAAUUUAAAAAUAGUAUGUUAUUAAUAUUUUAAAUUGUUAAAAUAGAAUAUAUCAGUUCAAUAUGGUAAUAAAUGAUUUACAAUCUUCCUACAGAUUUUCUUACAAACCUGUAGAGGUUCAACAAAUUUAGUCAUCCAUAGGAGGUUGGCUAAAUUUAUAGACAACAGCUGAGCAUGGUUGGAGGUGAGUUUUUGGAGCUGUUACCUAAAUUUUUUUAUUUUAAGUAUGUUAACUCACAUUUUAGCCAAGGGUUUUAGAUGGUUGGAGAUGCUUUGAGAGUUUUUUAUAUUCAGGAUAGCCCCGGUCUAGAUUAUUAUAAAAAACUUGUUUAUAUGGAGACAUAAUAAAGGUCCCAGAAUUUUUUACUCUUCAAGAUUUCCGUUUCUAGCCAAAUUUUUUGACCAUAAAUAAUAUAUUGGUUUUACCUGAAAACAAAAUUUAAAGAAAAUUCAAACUUUUUUAUUAGAGUACUUCUUUUCUUUUAUUAUUACUUCUUUUCUUUUAUUUUGAAAUUGCAAAACAGCUCAAAGUAGUUCUAAAAGAAUCAUUCUCCCCGCUAGGAUCAGUUACAAUUAAGAUUGACAAGAUGUUUUAGCUGCGAGUUCUUCAAAUUAUUGCUCGUAAGGUCCAUGACAGCUUAGAUAGUCACCAAAGCUUUGGCCUGUGGAUUAAGUUGAUGAAAUCUAGUGCAUUAAAAUCAAUGACAGCACUAUUUUAUGGGAUUGAUGCUCGCUCUUAAUAUUAUGCGUUUUUCUAAUGUGUGUGCCCAAAGACACACAAUAAACACUAAAUUUGAUAAAAAAAAUCGUAAUAUUAGUCAUUCCGCUCAUAAAUUUCAACCAGAGAAGAAAGAGCAUCGUGACUGUCAUUGUAUCCUUAAAAUUUGUUCGAUUAGGUUUUUUACAUAGUUUGCGCGUGGUCAUCAGGGUAGGCCUUCAUUAUAUUAAGCCAAUCUAGCUAGUAAUUCCAUAUUAAACAAGUUUAAAAUUUUCAAAUUUUGAUCUUAAUAAAUUUGUAAAAAUAGUAAACUUUUUCUUAUUUAUGAUAUUCACAAAUCUCUUACUUUUUUAUUACUGUAUUCAACUAAAUAUUUUUUAUAAACACUCAUAAAUGCAUCACAUCAGUUAUGAAAUUUAAAACAAAUAGUUUAUAGCCCGUGUAAGGCACGGGAGUUUUUUAAUUAUUUAUAAAUUUCUUAAAUAUAUUUUAAAUGGUGUGAAAAAAUUUAAUUUAUAAAUAAUAAAUUAAAAUUUUCAAUAAAAUAAAAUUCGAAAUUAUAAUUUGUUUGUAAGUUAGAACUGUGGUAAAUACAUCAUCAAGCCCAUUAAUGGUUUCAAAUAAACUAUUGUAAUGAAGCCAUUCUUUUUCUCGUAUGUACCGUGGCAAAGAAUUAAAUUCUGUUUAUCAAAUUUUAAUAUAUUUUGAGUGGAAUACGUUAUUGCCAACUCUUAUUAGAUUAUAUUUAUAAAUGUAUUUUAUAUUAGAAUUAUUAUAGUGUGAUUUAAAUAGUCCGCAAGGGUUAGUUUAGCUGGUUAAAAAGAGGACAUGUAUCCUCUUGGUCACAGGUUCGACUCUCAAAGGGUGGAUUAACGCUAUUGCGUGAUCCACUCCCAAAGGGUGGAUUAACCCUCCAAAGGGUAGCUGUUGCGGGUUCCUAGAUUACAAAAAAAUAAAAAAAUAUAUAAUGUGAUUUAAAUAUUUUUCAAAAAAUUUAUAUGGUUCCAAAUUAAAAUUGAUAAACAUAAUUUGUUGUGAUUUAAAUAUUUUUCAAAAAAUUUAUAUGGUUUCAAAUUAAAAUUGAUAAACAUAAUUUGUUUUUGAAUUAAGAAAAGGAAUCAUAAACAUGCAAUAAGAAGGUAGAAUCUAUUUUGGAUUAAGAAAAAGUUUUUGUAUUUGCUAAUCACAUAAAUCCGGCUUAUUAAUUUUAAAAUAUAUUAUAAAAAAAUUGUGACGGUGAGAUUUAUAUGAUUAAAAAAUUUUUGUAUUUGCUAAUCACAUAAAUCCGGCUUAUUAAUUUUAAAAUAUAUUAUAAAAAAAUUGUGACGGUGAGAUUUAUAUGAUUCUACGAAUAAAACUGGUAGAAAAUAUUUAUUUGGGAUUAAAAAAAUCAUAUACACGUGAAAGACAUAAUUUGUUUUGGAUUCAGAAAAAAAAUUAUAAAUAUGCAAGGUGAUAUCAGUUGCCUUGUAGAACAGAAGUUGAUUUUCGAAUCUAACGGUGCUUAUUUGUUCAAUAUAAGAUGCAACGGAUGAUAAACUUUUGGACCAGAGAACCAUGCGACCAAAUUAUCUCCCUUACGCUUAUUAUAUAUAAGUAUAUAAUAUGUCCAAUUUCUUUGAGAAAGAUGGUUGUAUAAUUUUUAGUUUAAAAUUUUAAUUAUUUUUAUUUUUAAUAUAAUUUACAACUAAAAAGUUUUAUUAUAUUUUGACUGCUUUGUAAUACAAUUAAAUAUAUCUUAAAUACACUUUUUCCUAUAUAUAUACGCUAACCUCGAGAGAUGUUGAAGAUCGUCCGAAACAAAAUUUGAAAGGGAAAAUGAAAAUGAGGAAUUGCAACCUCUGUUUUUUCACCAUCAGUAUGAUGCUCAUCUUCUUGAAGUUGCAGCACCACCUGGUGGCUUCUUCAUUAAGCCCCCACUUGCAGAAACUUGCCUUGUUUCACCUUAAGCAAAGCUUCACAAUCACUCCUCCUCGCUUCCCUUGCUCCUAUUAUUCCUACGAAGAUAAUGAGGGGUAUGAAAUUCCUUCUCGGCCAAAGACAAUGAGUUGGAGCAUGAGUACUGAUCACUGCACAUGGGAUGGAGUUAGCUGCGACAACAAGACAGGGGAUGUUAUCGGACUGGAUUUAAGUUGCAGUCAGCUGGAAGGAGCCAUUCUUCCUAACAGCACUCUCUUCCAACUCUCUCAUCUCCGCUUCCUCAAUCUUUCUCAUAACAACUUUUCCCUCUCCAGUCAGUUCCCUCCGGAAUUUGGUUUCUUUGCAAAAGGUCUGACGCAUCUCAACCUCUCUAAUAGUUAUUUAUCAGGGAGAGUUCCCUCUGGAAUCUCUCAUUUGUAUAAACUAGUCUCACUUGAUCUCAGUGACAAUGAUGGGACUAAACUUGAAGAAGAAGUAUUUAAAUCAAUGUUGCAGAAUUUAACGCAUCUCGGAGUGCUUAAUCUUAAUAACGUUAAUAUCUCCUCUAUUUUUCCCGUGAAUAUCUCUACUUCUUUAAGAGUUCUUCAAUUGUUGUAUACUGGUAUACACGGAGUAGUACCCCAAGAGGUUUUCCACCUUCCCAACUUGGAAUUACUUGAUUUAUUAUAUAAUUACGACCUGAGAGCUACAUUACCCAAAGUUAAGUGGGGAAGUAAAGCUACCCUCCAACACCUUCAUCUUUCAGAAAUCAACAUAGAUGGAGGUAUACCUGACUCAAUAGACUUUUUAAAGGACUCAUUAGUCAGUUUGUAUCUGGGCGGCUGUAAUUUGUCUGGGCCUAUACCAAGAUCCAUUGGGCACCUCGUUCAACUUACUCAGUUGGGCCUCCAUGAUAAUAAUCUCAAUGGCCCAAUUUUAACUUUUUUUACCAACCUUACAGACUUAAGAUAUAUCUACCUUGAAGGUAACAAUUUUACGGGUCCGUUUCCCUCUUUUCUUGCCCACUCCAGUAAACUAGUUGUGUUGCAUAUUGAGAGUAAUAGCUUUACUGGAUCCCUACCUCGUUCGUUGUUUCACCAUCCAUCCUUAGAGUACUUGUUUCUGGAACUUAAUGCAUUCACGGGUCCACUACAUGAAUUUGAUUCUUCUCGGUCCCGGCUGCAAUAUUUUUCUUGUUCCAGCAAUUUACUCAAUGGAUCCAUUCCACAUUCAUUUUCUCAACUUGUCAAUCGCACUGACCUAGAUUUUUCUUCAAACAAUUUCACCGGGGUUUUGGAUUUGGAAAUGUUUUCAGGUCUCGAAUUUCUAGAACGUCUUGAUCUUUCUGAUAACAGUCUUUCAGUGACAAGUACAAUCAGUGGCACCCUCCCUCCUACGCUUAUAUACUUGGGCUUGUCUUCUUGCAACAUGAAAGAGUUUCCUCGCUUUUGAACAGAUGCAAACAUCUUCCUGGAUUCUAUAGACCUGUCAAACAAUAAAAUUGACGGGGAAAUUCCACACUGGAUUGGGUCGCUGGGGGUGUCCUAUCUGAAUCUUUCUCACAACAAACUAAUAGGCGGUCUUGAGCAACUGCCUUGGGGUUAUAUUAAUUAUCUUGAUCUCCAAGACAAUAAGCUGAAUGGAUCGUUGCCCACCUUGAUGUGUAAUUCCAGCUCUCUUGAGAUUCUAAAUCUCUCUCACAACAAUUUGAGUGGUGUACUCCCCAUUUGUCAUACAAAUUUGACUCAGCUUUCGGUGUUGGAUCUGCGGAGGAAUAAAAUUCAAGGAAACAUUCCAGCAACCUUGUCAAAUUUCCAUAAUCUGGAAACCAUUAAUAUGAAUGGAAACCAAUUACAAGGAAGCAUUCCUUCUUCAUUUGCUGAAUUUGAUUCUUUAGCCGUUCUUGAUCUUGGAAAUAAUCAGAUAAAUGAUACAUUCCCCCGGUGUUUGGAAGCUCUUCCAAAUCUCCAAGUUCUUGUUCUCAAAUCUAACAAGUUUUGUGGUCUUAUAAACACGAGUUCUAAGAUUGUACACCCAUUUCCUAGCUUGAGAAUCAUUGAUCUGUCGGACAAUGAGUUUUCAGGUCCACUGCCAGCAAAAUACUUCAGAAACUUCAAGGCUAUAAUGAAUAGUGAUGUAAGCAAAAUAGAUCGUAGUUAUAUGAAUCAUAGUUUCUAUUACAGUGAUUCCACGGCUCUGGUGAUUAAAGGAGUAGUCAUAGAGUUGGUAAAGAUAUUAACUAUUUUUACAACCAUGGAUGUGUCAAGGAACCAGUUUGAAGGGGAGAUUGUAGAAUCAAUUGGAAAUCUGGUGUCACUUAGAUAUCUCAAUUUAUCACAUAAUCAUCUCAGAGGCCACAUACCACGGUCGAUUGGAAAAUUGACUGUGCUGGAGUCACUAGACCUCUCAUCCAAUGAACUUGAAGGAGAAAUUCCUCCGCAACUCACUGGUUUAUAUUCACUUGCAGUUCUAAAUCUUUCUUGCAACCAACUUAGAGGCCGUAUACCAGAAGGGUCACAAUUCAAUACGUUUGAAAUCUACAGCUACGCCGGGAACUUUGAAUUGUGUGGAAAACCCUUGUCAAAAAAGUGUGAAAAUUAUGUGAGGGUACACAAAGAAGACGAAGAAGAUGAGGAUGAAUAUUACUUUUUCAGUGGUUUUACAUGGGAAGCGGUGGUGAUUGGAUAUGGGUUUGGAGUGGUGCCUGCAUUUAUCGCCGGGUACUUGAUGUUGCUGGCACGGAAACCAAAAUGGUUUGCUGGAAUCAUUGGCAGGGAAUUGGGCCUCAAGAUCAGGAGGAUGGAGAUUAGAAUGCGAUAACUACAGGUUUGGUGUAAUCUGUAUCCCAUUCCCAGGUCUUGAAAAUUCUGUAAUAAUAUAGUAAUAUCUGCUCUCAUAUAAUUCUAUAUUUGCAGAUUCAGAUGGGACAAGCAGGAUUCAGAUGCAUUGCAUUGGAUUCAGAUGGGACAAGCAGGAUACAAGUUAUGUAGUAUUGUUUUGUUCCAGCUCUUAUCUGAUCUGCAAUCAAGUUAAUGAACCACUACCUCAGUUGUUAAGCAUCUUUCAGCAUUUUAAUUUUACAACUCACAAUAAAAGAUUACAUGUGUAUUAAUCUGAUCAUCAUUGGUUUAGAUCAAUAUAGAAGUUCGGCUUUGUUUAUUUCUAUCCCGGGCUCCUCAUUUUUAGAACAUAUUUGUUGAUACUUUUUAUGGAACGGUUAAGAAUAUUCCAUAGAUUUUUAUAUUCAGUGCUAGAUGAUUUUAUGUCCUGUUUUCAUUCCAAUUUCCGUUCAUGAACUAAUUAAAAAUCUGAAAGUGGGUCAUAUCUGGCAGUGAUGCCCACCUUUCUGGACCUGAAUUUCAUGACCACACAAACUCCAAUUCUGCCCAAAAAUUGCAGCUGUUUCGUAAAAUAUUUUUACGUGCUCUUUUGUUUGGACUUGUUUGCUGGACCAUGCAUAUGUUUUGAUACAAACAUCUUCGUGUAUGUUAACACUCUUGUGUCAGUUUCUGGACUCAUUGUUAGUAGCCCAUUCUUUACGGCAGACAUUGAAUUGGAUUUACUUGAAGAAAUGAAGGUUUAAGAAAGUUGAGAACAAUUUGUUGAUAAUUUCCUUCCCUAGAAACUGCACUCCAGCAUCAAAGUACCUUUCAAAGACUCCAGACAUCAUCUCUUGAUUAUCGAAGACUUGGUCUUGCAUAUACUGAUAUACAGUGAAUAUAGAUUUCUUUCAUUUCCUUGAAAUUGCAUUUUUGGAAGUAGCUCUCCAGACUCAUUCCCGUCACUUCUUAAAGUCUUAUUCCUCCUCAAUACUACAUACACGUAAUAUCACACCACUUUGCUCAUGCUCAGAUGGGUUUUUCUUACAAACCACAUAUGUUCACUUCUCAGAGUCUUAGUCCUCGUCAAUGUAUAGAGAUAAUAUCUCACCAUUUGCUAGUGCUACAAAUGGGCUUCUCCUACAACCACACAUAAUCGGAGAAAAGUCUGUCAAGUGUCAAGUGGACUUGAAAGACCCUUGUGCAUGGAUUAUUGUAUGUCAUGAAUGCCUUCUGAUAUCCCUGAAAGUGCAAGCAAGUUAUAAAAGUAGCUGGGCAGACUCUUUCUCAUCAAUACAUUCACAUUUAAAGCGGGCGUUGAUAUGCCUCCCUAAUUUUCUAAUGCCCUAGACGGAAUUCUAUUACAAUCCACAUAUGAUGGGUAGCGAUCAUCAAUUCAAAGAAGAGACUAUCAGCAGCUUGCAGGAAAUGUCCCCUCUGCAUGGAUUAUCGAAGAAAGGAACUUAUACCUAUAAAGAUGUAGAAAACCAAUGGUAAGCAUAACUGCAUAUAAGAUACAAAACUAAAUUUAAUACAAGACUCGUUCUGAGCAUUGGAAAAUAUAAUUCAUCCUGGUCUUCGUCUUCUACUUCUCCAAAUAUGCUUUUAUUGCAGCCAAUGUAUUAGUGAAAAGAAUUAAAUUUAAAUUAAUUGUAGACCGCAAAUAUAAGAUUAGGAGAGUUUCUACAACCCACAAAUUAGUAGACAGACUAAUAUGGUUAGUUGAGACCAUCAAUCUGGAGAAACUGUUUCUACAAUGACCCAUAUGUAUGAAUUAUUGAAGAAAGAAACUUAUACCUACAAUGUAAAGGAAAUGGUCACGAGUAUAUUGCAUUUUUAAUCCAAAUUGUAUAUGAUUCUCUCUGUGCUACUGAUAGUUAAUAAUAAAUCUACAACGGAACUUGCAGUUAAUCAAGGUAUUUAAGUCUACCUUUCUACAUUGUUGAAUAGUUUGAAUUAAAUAAUUGUAAUAAAUUUUUUGCUGGAUGCUGUGUGAGUUUACCAGAGCUUAUCACGGUGAGAAGUUCACUAAAGCUCUUGGAAUUAGUAAAUAAAAACUCAGGGCAGUGAAUUAGAAGUCUGAGUACAAGGCAAUGAGCAGGAAACAACAUAGGGAGUUUACAACUAGAAGUAUCUAUUCUCCCCCAGUCUUUUUGUGAACAUCAAGAGGCCAUUCAUAUUGCUCACAAACCAGUUAAAAGUGGCAGGACUACACAUAAUGAAUCACACAGUCACUUUAUGUGAGAAAAGAAAAUUGUCAGGACUGCAAUGCAUUUCUAGCCCAUUUUGUACAGCAGCUCAAACGUUUAAAAAACUUCAUUAAUUAUUUUCUUUUAUUGAAACCACACUCAUCCAUCAAAGUAGCUCUCAAAGUCUAAUUUCCAUCACCUUCUGAUUCUCAAAGUCUUCUUCUUCGUCUUAUAUUGCACGCCACAUAUUAGUAGACAUACUACAUCAACUCUGUAGAAAGAAACAAUCUAUAGUAGUUGAUGUACAAUGUUAUUAUGUAAAUGUAUAAUAUCAAAAUUAGGAAUAGAAAUCACGCCCUAAUAAUUAACCCUCUGCAGGGGUUAUUAAAGAAAGCAGCUUAUAACUUUAGUUGCUGAACAUUUGUGUGGGCCAAAUUCAAUUUUACACAUCAUUACUAGAUUUACACAUGGUAUUAGACAUCAGUACUAGUAUAAGAUGUUAAUCAAGUUUUGGAAUUUCUUUUAUUUCAGAAAACAAGUUUUUAACUCUCUUUUUUUUUUGUGGUAUUAAUUAUUUAUAUCACGCAUUUGAGCUUUAAAAUUAGCUCUAAAUAAAAGUUGAUUUUCGCUCAAAGAAACAAUGAUGUAUAAGAAGAUUUUCAGAACUGAAUUAUUUCUUUCCAUUUUUACAGUUCCAUUCAAGAACCGAAAGCAGCUCACAAAGACUCACUACAUCAUCUUUCAAUUCUCAUAGUGUUGGUCUUUGUCUUCUGCUGCUCAAAAAUUCUAUUACAGCCCACAUAUCAGUAUCAUAUACCUAAUUAUAAAUAGUAUUUAACACUUAACACCAUUAAAGAUUUGUCUCAGAGACUUACUUCCAUCACCUUAUGGUUCUCAAACUCUUCGUCUUCUAAUGCUCCAAAAGUUCUAUUAGUGCAGGCCACAUAUUGGUAAACAGACUACAAUUCAUCCAAAAUGACCCUCUUAUUGGACACUUUGAACACCUCUGUCUGUAUAUGCAUUGGAGAAGAAUUAUCAGCUCGUUAAAAUAACCUCUUCGCAUCAACUCUAUGGAAAGAAGCAAUUCAUACCUAAAGUACAAUGUUUGGAUAAAAUUAGGGAUAGCAACCGCACGCUAAUUUUUUAGUUGAAGCAGGCUACCUUAGUGUAAUUAACUGAACAUCCCCGUAAUUUCUUGACAGGCCACAAUUAAGGAAGUUUACAGAAUUACAUUCCAGAAGUAGCUCCCUGAGACAGAUUCGCAUCAUCUUUCAAUCUUCAAAGUUCUUUAUACUUAUAUUAUAUUUCAUGUUUUAUUGUAAUGAACAUAGCAGUUUCCUGUUCAGUAAUAUUCCAGGCUCAGGUUCUUCAUUCCAAGUCUCUGUUACAUGUUUGCUACUAAAACGUAUUAAACAGUUAUUAGUUUAUGACUGUAUUCCAUCUUGAAAGGAGAUCUCAAAGACUCAUUCCCAUAAUCUUCAGAAUCUCAAGUCUUGAUGAACUUGGCCUUCAUCAUAUUUGUACUCUUGUAAUUCCAUAUUAAUCAAGUUUAAAUAUUAAAAUUUUUAAUUUUAGUAAAUUUGUAAAAAUAGUAAAAUUUGUCUUAUUUAUAAUAUUUAUAAAUCUCUUACUUUCCUGUUACUGUAUUCAACUUAAUAAUUUUUACAAACACUGUGCAUCACAUAAGUUAUGUAAAUUUAGAACAAAUUAUGUCCAAUUUAUUUAAGAGAGAUUGUUAUAUUGUUUUUACUUUAAAAUUAAUGGUAUCUUUUAUUUUUAAUAUAAUUUACAGCUAAAAAUAUUUGAUAUAUUUUCACACUGCUUCUUAUUUUUGUAAUAUGACUAAACAUAUCUUAAAUACACUUUUUUCCUAUAUAUAUGCUAGCCUCUCGAGAUGUUGAAUAGAUCAUCCCAAACAAAAAAAUUUAAGGGAAAUAGAAAAUGAGGAAUUCCAUCCUCUGUUUUUCCACCAUCAGUUUGUUGCUCAUCUUCCUGCAGUUGCAGCACAACCUAGUGGCUUCUUCAUUAAGUCCCCACUUGCAGAAACUUGCCUUGUUCCACUUUAACCAAACCUUAACAAUCAGUACUACUAGCUGGGAUUGCGAGUACUAUUCCUACGAUGGAUAUUACGAAAUUCCUUCACGGGCAAAGACAAAGAAUUGGAGCAUGAGUUCCGAUCACUGCACAUGGGAGGGAGUUAGCUGCGACGACAAGACAGGGGACGUUAUCGGACUGGAUUUAAGUUGCAGUCAGCUGGAAGGAGCCAUUCUUUCUAACAGCACCCUCUUCCAGCUCUCUCAACUCCGCUUCCUCAAUCUUUCUCACAACGGCUUUUACAAUCAGUUCCCUCAGGAAUUUGGUUUCUUUGCAAAAGGUUUGACGCAUCUCAAUCUCUCUCGUACUGGAUUAUCAGGGAGAGUUCCCUCUGGAAUCUCUCAUUUGUAUAAACUGGUCUCACUUGAUCUCGGUCGCAACUAUAGGGCUUGGGCUAAACUUGAAGAAGAAGUGUUUAAAUCACUGUUGCAGAAUUUAACUCAUCUUGAAGUGCUUAAUCUUGAAGGGGUUAGCAUCUCCUCUGUUUUGCCCCUGAAUAUCUCUACUUCUUUAAGAUUUCUUGCUCUUGCGGGAACUGAAAUACACGGAGUAGUACCUCAAGAGGUUUUCCACCUUCCCAACUUGGAAUUUCUUCGUUUAUCAUAUAAUGACCACCUGAGAGUAACAUUACCCAAAGUUAAGUGGGGAAGUAGUGCUACUCUCCAACACCUUCAACUUUCAGGCGUCAACAUAGAUGGAGGUAUGCCUGACUCAAUAGGCUUUUUGGAGUCAUUAGUCAGUUUACAUCUGAUCCAGUGUAAUUUGUCUGGGCCGAUACCAAAAUUCAUUGGGCAACUCGUUCAACUUACUCACUUGGGCCUGGCUGCUAAUAAUCUCAGUGGCCCAAUUCUAACUUUUUUAACACGCCUUGCAGACUUCAGAUCUAUCUUCCCUUGAGCAUAACAAUUUUACUGGUCCGUUUCCCUCUUUUCUUGCCCACUCCAGUAAACUAGUUGAGUUGUAUCUUCAUAAUAAUAGCUUUACUGGAUCCCUACCUCGUUCGUUGUUUCACCAUCCAUCCUUAGAGAUCUUGAAUCUGGCAUAUAAUGCAUUCACGGGUCCACUACAUGAAUUUCAUUCUUCUUUGUCACGAUUGCGAUCUUUUUAUUGUUCCAGCAAUUUACUCAAUGGAUCCAUUCCACAUUCAUUUUCUCAACUUGUGAAUCUCACUGAACUAGAUCUUUCAUCAAACAAUUUCACCGGGGUUUUGGAUUUGGAAAUGUUUUCAGGCCUCAAAUCUCUAGGAAUUCUUCAUCUUUCUUAUAAUAGUCUUUCAGUGAGAACUACAACUAUGGCCACUCUCCCUCCUACGCUUAACGACUUGGCCUUGUCAUCUUGCAACAUGAAAGAGUUUCCUCACUUUUCAAGAGAUGCAAACAUCUUCCUCGAUUUUGUAGACCUAUCAAACAACAAAAUUGAAGGGGAAAUUCCACACUGGAUUGGGUCGGUGGGGAGGUACCCUUUCUAUCCAAUCCAUUAUCUGAAUCUUUCUCACAACGGACUAAUAUGCGGUCUUGAGCAACUGCCUUGGAGUCAUGUUGAAUUUCUUGAUCUCCAAUACAAUAAGCUGAAUGGAUCAUUGCCCACCUUGAUGUGUAAUUCCAGCUCUCUCCGGGUUCUAAAUCUCUCUCACAACAAGUUGAGUGGUGUACUCCCCAUUUGCCAUACAAAUUUGACUUCGCUUCGCGUGUUGGAUCUGCGGAGGAAUAAAAUUCAAGGAAACAUUCCAGCAACCUUGUCAAAUUUCCGUAACCUGGAAACUGUUAAUUUGAAUGGAAACCGAUUAGAAGGAAGCAUUCCUUCUUCUUUUGCUGGAUUUGAUUCUUUAGCCGUUCUUGAUCUUGGAAAUAAUCAGAUAAAUGAUACAUUCCCCCAGUGUUUGGAAGCUCUUCCCAAUCUCCAAGUUCUUGUUCUCAAAUCAAACAAGUUUUAUGGUCUUAUAAACACGAGUUCGAAGAUUGUACACCCAUUUCCAAGCUUGAGAAUCAUUGAUCUGUCGAAAAAUGAGUUUUCAGGUCCACUGCCAGCAAAAUACUUCAGAAACUUCAAGGCUAUGAUGGAUAGUGAUGUAAGCAAAAUAGAUCGUAGUUAUAUGAAUUAUGGUUCCUAUUACAGUGAUUCCACGACUCUGGUGAUUAAAGGAGUAGACAUGGAGUUGGUAAAGAUAUUAACUAUUUUUACAACCAUGGAUGUAUCAAGGAACCAUUUUGAAGGGGAGAUUGUAGAAUCAAUCGGAAAUCUAGUGUCACUUAGAGAUCUCAAUUUAUCUUACAAUCAUCUCACAGGCCACAUACCACGCUCGAUUGGAAAAUUGACUGUGUUGGAGUCACUAGACCUCUCAUCCAAUGAACUUGAAGGAGAAAUUCCUUCGCAACUCACUGGUUUAUAUUCACUUGCAGUUCUAAAUCUGUCUUGCAACCAACUCAGCGGUCAUAUUCCACAAGGUUCUCAGUUUAAUACAUUUGAUGCUGAUAGCUAUGGUGGUAACUUCGGGCUGUGUGGAAAUCCAUUGUCCAAAACGUGUGAACAAGAUAUUGUGGAGCAAGAAGACGAAGAAGAUGAGGAUGAAUGUCACUUUUUCUGUGGUUUUACUUGGGAAGCGGUGGUGAUUGGAUAUGGGUGUGGAGUAGUGCCUGCAUUUAUCAGUGGGUACCUGAUGUUGCUGGCACGGAAACCAAAAUGGUUUGCUGGAAUCAUUGGCAGGGAAUUGGGGCUCAAGAUCAGGAGGAUGGAAAUUAGAAUGCGAUACUAAAGGUUUGCUGUAAUCUGUAUCACAUUCCCAGGUCUUGAAUAUUCUGUAAUAAUAUAGUAAUAUCUGCUAUCAUAUAAUUCUAUAUUUGCAGAUUGGAGAGGCAUGAACAUUUUGGCAUGUAAGUUGAUGGGACAAGCAGAUUCAGAUGCACUGGAAUCAACCACUACUUCAGCUGUUUUGCAUCCUUUGUCAUUUUAAAUUUUACAUUUUAUAAUAAAAGUCAAAAAGAUACAAGUUCCAUGGACAAGUUCUGUAUUGUGUAGUUCCAGGGCUCCUUUCAAUUUCUAACCACCCUGGACAACUUCUUUACAAAACUAACCACCCUUUUUUUCACUUCACAAAACUGACCACCCUAAAUCCUUGGCGAACAUUACAUGAAAUCCCUUAUAUGUUCGCCCCUGUCAAGGGCGAACAUUACUAAAAAAAUUUAUAUGUUCGCCCCUCCCAAGGGUGAAGAUAUAAGGGCUUUAAACUUCCCAUUUACCUCGUAUCAUUUGCACAUAUAAUGAGUUUAUUUCAUUUUUAAAAAAAUGUAGAUAUAAAAAAUACUGAAAAUUCGUUUAUUUGAUUUAAAAAAAAUGUACCUAUAAUUGGUUGUUUUGUAAAUAUUGAAAUAAUAUUAUUUUAUUGAUUAAAAAUGUCAUGAGUUGAAGUGAUAAUUGAGUAAAUUUAUUUUAGUUUAAUUGGCAUAAUGAGUUGAAGUGAUAAUUGAGCAAUUUUAUUCAUAGAGAAUAUUAAAACAACGAUAAUACGACUUAAACUGAAAAGGAGAAAACAAUCACGACGAAAAUACAGACCACUUAAUUUUCCAACCAAAUAUUAGAAAAUUUUAAAAUUUCAUUGACCGCAUAGACACAAUAUUUAUUUUUAAAAUUUUAUUUUUGCAAAUAAAAAUUUAAAUAUGAAAUUUUCGUUGACAAAAGAAAAAAUUAAAAAAUAAAUUUCGGAACUUGACGGUCAAUGCACCUUAAAUUACGUGCCGAAAGUCUAACUGGCUCAUCUAAUUUGAGAAGGAGGGAGUAGUAGGCUUGCAAAAUUUCGUAUUAGCAUUAAAUAUUAAAAAUUCAUCGUAUUAAACUACUCAUAAAUACGAAUCUAACAAGAUCACUCAAGACUAUAUUUAGUCUUAUUGACAUCAUAAACAUGAAAAAAAAAAAAAACGAGGCAAUAUAUUUUAGAUAAUAUAAAUAUAAANCGAGGCAAUAUAUUUUAGAUAAUAUAAAUAUAAACAGAUAUAAGGUUUUGAGAGCAAGACACAAAAAAUAUGUUUCCCUUGGUCUCAAGUCUCAACUGCAAGACACCAUAAAAUGAUAGAAAUAGAUGUGUGGGGUAGGUAAGCCUCAGUCAGCUAGCCAACAACUAUGUUCGCCCUUACGGGGGGCGAACAUAGUGGUGUUUUUGUGUGGUGUUCGCCCUUGCCAAAGGCUCAAAUCAAUUAUUUCAGCAGCCAUGUUCGCCCCUGAUGUAUAUGAAUUAAGGUGGUUAGCUUUGUGAAUUGAAAAUUUGGGUGGUUAGUUUUGUAAAGAUUGUGUUUAAAGUGGUUAGUAAAUUGACGGAGCCUAGUUCCAGCCUCAGGCUGUUCCUUACUAAAACAUGUUUUCUGAUGCUUUAUAAUGUACAAUUUACAAUAUAUCAAAGUUUGUAAUAUACAGUACCAGAUGAUUUUAUGGCCUGAUUAUCCUUAAUCGCUUUCAUGAACUAAUGGAAAUUUGUAAAAGCGGGUUACAUUUGCAGCGAUGCCGCUAUUUUUCCUGAAUUUCCCUAGUUGUGAAGAUUGUCUAAAUCAUGUUAGAGUCGCUGCCAUCAGUGAAUGCAUUCAACGGCUUACGGAAAUUAGUAGAGAUACUAAAGUUGUUUGUUGAUAGAAUAGAAGAUGACAGAGUGUCCAUGCGUCAUUUUAAGGAUCGAGAUGUGUAGCUGUGACUUGUAUUUAUAAAAUUUCACAAGAUGCUUUACAAUGGUAGCAGAGGAGGGCUGGGGAUCCACAAGAUGUGAAUUUGUGUUAUUAGAAACGAAUUUUGUUGUAGGGGGAUUUAUUGAAUUAGUUCGAAGCACUCAAGUAGAAUUGGUUGUAGCAGAGCAAGAAGCUGAGCACGACCAUAAGAAUUUGAACUCUUGAGGCAAAUUUUAUCUCUAAUUGUAAGCCUUCCACUAGACAGCAAGGUUAGAAGAAAGAUUGAGUCGAUGUGUGGAUAUAAAAUUAGGAAUACUAUUACCUCUGACGCCCAUGACAUAUCGAUGAGGCAUGAAAGUUGGGAACAGGGGACGAUUGGCGUAUUGGAAUGGAAGUAGAAAACUUCUUCAGAGCUUGAUGCUCUCGAAGAUACAAUCUGAUGAGAAAGCAUAACGAUGAUCAUGACUCUGCCCUUACUCUAAAUCAGUAAGAUCAACCUCUCUACACAAUUCACUAAUACCACCUCUUUAUAACAUUUUCACUCCUAGGUGAUGAAUAAAGUAUCAUGAAACAUAUUUUGUAUAAUGAAUUAUAUUUUUUAUUAUAUUCCUUUUUUAAAAUAUAUUGCAUAUUACACUGCUUUUUAAUUCUAUUUGAAGCAUUUAAUUAAUUUUUAGCUGUAAUUUAACUUUCAAGGUAGCAUUAUCAGCAUGAGGAAUAGGCAGAGCUUCCAGAUGCUCUCUUCUGAUAGAUAUCAUUCAGCACUUGCUCUGAGUUUGUUGAUCAACCAGGCGACUUUCAACAUUUCACAUUUUUAAGCAUUUAAUUAAUUAAUCAUCAGUCUUGUAUUUAGCUUGAUCGAAAAUAAUUGCUCUCUUCGAUUUAUUUGCCUACUUGUCGACGUGUUUAUGUAGCGUGUCUCUACUCUGUAGCUUACACAUCAUUGAUUCAUAUUAUUUUCUCCUUAGGAACUUGAGAGACAUUUGGCAUCAAAAGAAGCUUCUCUCCCGCAAGAACCAUUUUCCCCUUAUGACAUUUUGGUGUUGGUGAGAGUGCAGCGACUUUUGAUGAACUUGGCCUGUCUGGCAGACAGGAGGCCCUGUUUCUAGAGUUAAUAUAGCAGAUAUAGUUAUUGUAAAAUUGUAAUAGGAUCUCGAAGAGUUUACCCAGAUGGACCAACUUUGUUUGUUAGUUGGAUGUAAAAGUUGUUUAGAGAUGGGUAUUUUGUCGAAGUUUGUAUCUAUUGGGUAUUUCGUCUUUUAGUCAGACUAUGGCUCAUACAGUUUCAUACAGUUUGAAGUUGAUAUCAAAUCUUAGAUUAAAUUACUGAACAUUGUUUCUUGAAUUCGAUAUCGAAUUUUAACCGAAAAUAUGUUCAGUUCUAAUUUAAAAGUUAUGCAAAUUACAUUAAUAAUAUUAUGUAAUUCUUGAAUAUUCUGUAAUAACAUAGUACUAUUUGUCUCUCAUUUAAUUCUAUAUUUGCACCUGUGGACGUUAACAGAUUGGAGAGGCAUGAACAUCUUGGCAUGUAAGUUGAUGGGACAAGCAGGGUUCAGAUUCAUUGGAAUCAACCACUACUUCAUCUGUUUUGUCAUUUUAAAUUUUACAUUUUACAAUAAAAGUCAAAAGAUACAAGUUCUGUUUUGUUUAGUUCCUUCCUUAGGCUCUUCAUUACUAAAACUUGUUUGCUGAUUCUUUAUAAUGUACAAUUUACAAUACAUCAAACUUUUUAAUAUAGACUACUAGAUGAUUUUGUGGACUUUUUAUCCUUAAUUGCUUUCAUGAACUAACGAAAAUUUUAGAAGUGGGUCACAUCUGCAGUGAUGCCGCCAUUCUCACUAAAUUUCACUAGUGAGGAAGUUUGUCUAAAUCAUGUUAGAGUCGCUGCUAUCAGUGAACGCAUUCAACAGCUUAUCUCAAACUGGUAAGGGAUACUAAAUUUGUUGAUGACAGAGUGUUCUUGCGUCAGUUUAAGGAUCGAGAAUAUGUAGCAGUUGAAUGUAUGUAUGUUGGCGUUUUACAUUAUGUGAGAUUAUUGUUUAAUUACAGGAUCUUCAUCUCUAAAACAUGUUUUCUGCUAUAUCUUAUCUUAUAAUCUUACAAAAUAUCAACCUCGUCCAUCUUCUAUUUCGAUUGCUUUGCUUCAAAACGCCUGUUCAAAGGUAAAAUGAUAUAUAUUUCAUUUCAUCUAUAUUUUUCUUUUACAAUUUUUAGUGAUGUCAUGUUUAUCAUGUUACAUUCUGAUCCUAACAUCAUUUCAUUGAUCAAUUUCAAACUUCUGUUCUCUUCAUUCCAGGCUCGGGCUCUCUCUCUAGUCUCUAGUGCAACAGAGGACAGAGGAAGGCUGGUGCAUUGAAAUGAAAGUAGAAAACUUCUUCAAAGCCUGGCUGACCACGGAUGUAUGAUAAAAUCAAAUAUAUAUAUAUAUAUAUAUAUAUAUAAUAAUAAUAAUAAUAAUAUUUUAUUUUGAUUUUAGAUUUUUUUUCUGUUUUGUAUUUUGUUUUUAGAAAAUAAUAUUUUUAUUCAUGUUAUUUUCUAUUUGGUUCAAAAUCCUAUUAUUAGGAUAUAUUUCUAAAAAUUAAUAAGAUCAAAUACCGUAUUAUUUUCUGGAAAUUAAUUUGUUAUAUUUAAAUUUAAAAUCUUUUAUAAAUUCAAAUAAUCAUUUAUAAUAAUUUUUUAUCAAAAUCCAUUAUUAUUAGAAUAUCUAUUACAUUUUCUAAAAGAUCUCCUGAUAUUAUGUAAGUUGAAGGUUGAAUAUUAUUUAAUAAUAUUUUUAUUUUAUUUGUAUUUUUAGUUAAACUGCAAAUUUUGCAUGUAAAAUAUGUUAGAUACAUUUUUUUAAAUUACACAUUUUUUUAUUAAAUAUAAAUAUUAUACUAAUAUUAUUUAGUUUUAUAUUGAGAAUUUGAGAGUAGAAGAUUUGCAGAUUUAUAUUAUUUCAAUUUCAAAACUGCAAUCUUGUCUUGAAGAAAGAAUAAAUGCCGGGAAAUACUUGCAAUCUAGCUCAAAAUUGAAGUAGUUCAUAAUCUGAUACAUGUAGAGUCAUGUGUAAUGCAUUUAUGCCUUGGUACUUCUAGAGUUCUAGACCGACAGAGCAAAGAUUAUGUACAUGGAGCACUAAUAUAUAUGCUUUUAGCUUAACAGUAGUCUAUAUUCAUUUUAAUAUGCAAACCUACUUUACAUAUCAUGUUUAAAAAAUAUUUUGAUUUUUUUUAACAUUUAUAUUUAUUCAAAAAAAAAAUUUAAAAAUAAUGUGCAAAAGCAUGAGGUGAUCUCUUUCUCAUCACAUUUUACUCAAUUCUUUAUAUGUUUUCUGAAGUCUCUUGCCAACAUACAUGCAUGAACGUAGUUAUGUAGUAAUAUAAAAAUUCUUGGCCUAAAGAAACACUCACUUUCUGUCUUGUCCUCAUCACCUUUCUAGAAAACAUAGUAAAUAUAUGAGCUGUAACUUAGAAAUUUGAUUUGCAACAAUACACACACAUGAUAAAUACAUUACUAACAUGUUGGUCUUUGUUUCUAUUUCAGCCCUACAAUUUUGAAAAUGGAAAAUAUUUUACACCUAACUACGAACCUGGUUCGAAGAUCAUUCUCUAUGGGGUACUGAUAAUUAACAAACAGAGUUACACUAUUGUCAUAGUAUUAGACAUCACUACUAGUAUAAGAUGGUAGUAAGUUCAUUAUCAAGGUCCAGGCACAAACACUUCUCUAGUUCUGGAAUUUCACCGAACUGAACCAUUUAUUUCCAUUUCUGCAAAUUGCAUAACAUCAACUUUCAAUUUUCAACAUCUUGAUCUUGGUUCAAAGCAGAAAUGAUAAUGAUGAGGAUGUUCAUCACCUGUUUUUUGAAAAUUGUUGUGAUGCUCAUCUUCUUGCAACACCACCUAGUUACUUCAUUAAGUCCUAACAUGCAGAAAAUUGCAUUGUUCCGCUUUAAGCAAAGCUUGACAAUUAGUAUUCCUACAAAUUGCUUCUAUGCUGACAAUUUUUACAACUUUUAUAGUAUUUCUUCACACCCAAAGACAAUGAAUUGGAGCAUGAGUUCCGAUCACUGUGCAUGGGAGGGAGUUAGCUGUGACCACAAGACGGGGAAUGUAAUCGGACUGGAUCUAAGUUGCAGUCAGCUGGAAGGAGCUAUACUUCCUAACAGCACGCUCUCCCAACUCUCUCAUCUCCAGUUCAUCAACCUUNGUUCCUCAACCUUUCACAAAACAACUUUUCUCUCACCAAUAAAUUCCCUCGAGACUUUGGUUUCUUUGCAAAAGGUUUGACGCAUCUCAACCUCUCUUAUACUGGAUUAUCAGGGAGAGUUCCCUCAGGAAUCUCUCAUUUGUAUAAACUGGUCUCACUUGAUCUCACAGAUGAAAAUAGUGCUAAACUUGAAGAUGACGUGUUUAAAUCACUAUUGCAGAAUUUAACUCAUCUCAGAGUGCUUAAUCUUCAAGGGGUUAACAUUUCCUCUGUUUUGCCCGUUAAUAUCUCUUCUUCUUUAAGAGUUCUUAACCUUGGGCAGACUUAUGGUCUACACGGAGUAGUACCCCAGGAGGUUUUCCACCUUCCCAACUUGGAAGUACUUGAUUUAGCAUAUAAUGACGACCUGAGAGCUACAUUACCCAAAGUUAAGUGGGGAAGUAGUGCUACUCUCCAACACCUCCAUCUUUCAAGUAUCAACAUAAUUGGAGGUCUACCUGAUUCAAUAGCCUUUCUGGAGUCCUUAGGCAGUCUGCAACUCUACAUGUGUAAUUUGUCUGGCCUGAUACCAAGAUCCAUCACGCACCUUGGUCAACUUACUUACUUGGGCCUCUCUAUUAAUAAUCUUCAUGACCCAAUUCCAACAUCUUUAGCAAACCUUACAAACCUAAGACUUCUCGCCCUUUCUAAUAACAAGUUCAUCGGAUCACUUCCCCAGUGGUUUUUUCACCAUCCAUCGCUGGAAAAGUUAUAUCUGGGACUUAAUGGGUUCACAGGUCAACUAUAUGAAUUUGAUCCCUCCAAGUCGCAACUUCGUACUUUUAUUUGCGAAAACAAUCAACUCAGUGGACCCAUUCCACAAUCAUUUUCUCAACUUUUGAACCUCACUGAGCUAGACUUUUCAUCAAACAAUUUCAGUGGUGUUUUGGAUUUUAAUUAUAUGUUUUCACGCCUUCGGUACCUGGAUAGUCUUGAUCUCUCCCACAACAGUCUAUCAGUGAGAAAUGCAAGUUUGGACACACUCCCUCCAAAGCUUAGAAAAUUGGGAUUGUCAUCUUGCAAGAUUAAAGACUUUGCACACUUUUCAAAAGAUGCAAAGACCUCGCUAUUUUGGGUAGACCUAUCAAACAAUGAUAUUGAUGGGGAAAUUCCACUUUGGAUGGGGUCAGUGUACUACUAUCUGAAUGUUUCCCACAACAGACUAAUAGGCGGCAUUGAGCAACUACCUUGGAAUAAUAUCAUAUAUCUUGAUCUCCAUUCUAAUAUGCUAAAUGGAUCGUUGCCCGCCUUCAUCUGUGAUUCAAGCAAUCUUGAGAUUCUAAAUCUGUCCAAUAACAAUUUGAGCGGUGUACUUCCAGAUUGUUCAAAAAAAUUGACUUCCAUUAGGGUAUUUGAUCUGCGGAUGAAUAAAAUUCAGGGCAACAUUCCAGCAACCUUGUCAAAUUUCCGUAGUCUGGAAACCAUAAAUUUGAAUGGAAAUAAUUUACAAGGAAGAAUACCUUCUUCUUUUGCGGAGUUUGAAUACCUAAAGCUUCUUGAUCUUGGAAGUAAUCAAAUCAAUGAUACAUUUCCACAAUGUUUGGAAGGUCUUCCAAAGCUUCAGGUUCUUGUUCUGAGAUCAAAUAGAUUUCAUGGUAUAAUAAACACGAGUUCUAAGGUUGAACGCCCAUUUCUCAACUUGAGAAUCAUUGAUAUUUCGUCCAAUGAGUUUUCUGGUCCAUUGCCUGCCAUUUAUUUCAAAAGCUUCAAGGCUAUGAAGAAUGGUGAAGUGAAUAAAAUGGAGCGUAGUUAUAUGGGGGACAACACUUAUUACAGUGAUUCAACAUGUCUAGUAAUUAAGGGAGUAAAGAUUAAAUUGGUAAAAAUUCUAACUAUAUUCACAACCAUUGAUGUUUCGAGGAACAAUUUUGAAGGAGAGAUUGCUGAAUCCAUCGGAAAUCUAGUGGCACUCAGAUUUCUUAAUUUGUCGCACAAUCAUCUCACAGGAGUAAUACCAUCCUCAGUCGGAAAAUUGUCUAUGUUGGAGUCACUAGACCUCUCAUUUAACCGGCUCGAAGGAGAAAUUCCGCAGCAAAUCGCAGGCAUAUAUUCACUUGGAAUGUUAAAUCUGUCUUGCAACCAACUUAGAGGUCAUAUCCCUAAAGGGUCUCAAUUCAAUACAUUUGAAAAUAACAGCUACGUUGGUAACUUUGGGCUGUGUGGACAUCCCUUGUCCAAAGAGUGUAAAAAUGAUACUAUGACCCAAGAAGAAGAAGUUGAGGAGCAAGAAAAAGAUGAAGAUGGGGAUGAUGAUUACUUUUUUAGUGGUUUCACUUGGAAAGCUGUGGUGAUUGGAUAUGGCUGUGGAGUACUGCCGGCAUUUAUUAUUGGAUACUCGAUGUUGGUUGCACGAAAACCAAAAUGGUUUGCUGGAAUUAUUGCCCGGGAACUGGGUCUCAAGAUCAGGAGGAUGGAGAUCAAAAUGCGAUAAAUAAAGAUUUGCUGUAAUCUGUAUGUCAUGUUAAUUGUCUCUCCGUAAAGUCAAUAUUUGUGAAAUGUUAUUUCCCUUUUUUAUCUAUUAAAAUAUACUGUGAUAAAUUUGCAUAUUGGAACCUGACCGUCGUACUUUUUAAGAGAGAACCUGACCUUGGCUUUCACUGCACUCUGGCAAAUGCACAUUUUUUAAAAGUAGACAGGGAAUUAAGAAGAUGAAGUUUGUUAAAAUCAGGGUUUAGUAAGGUAUAAUGAUUUUUUGCUGUACUAGAACCUAGAGAAAAAGGAGUGGCUGAAAUCUGAUGGUUCUUCAAUAGUGAAUUUGAUUUAGUUUUUCCGCACCUGUUUCUUACAUAUUUUACAUAAAGAUUACCUUGUCAACAACUUCUUUCAUGAAAUUACAAUUUGAAAUUUCCUGCCAAUUAUUUGAGUCAUUGUGUUAUGUGUAGAUAUUAAAAAUGCAAGUAUGAAUCACAAUGAUUUUGAAUUUUGAAGUAAACCUACCCCUGAAUUUGCCUCUUCUAAGCUCGAUCUGUCUGAUCUUUGAAACAAUCAUUUUAGUGAUUCAAUUCUACCUUCAAUAGGAAAUACAUCAUCUCUUCAUACAAAAUAGGAAACAGCACACUCACUCUAUAUUGGAUAGAUGGACACAUUUACAAAGAGCUUCAGCUUGGUCAUCUUUAUCUGAGUACUCUUGAGUGCUCAUAACCCGAGAUAAGCUGAUCAGGUCAGCUCUGGUGAAUAACUAAAUCCAUGACCACUUAGUUCACAAUUGUUCUUUCCUUACUACAGGGAUCAAUUUCGUGAUGUCAUGUUUAUGAUGUUACAUUCUGAUCCUAACAUCACUUUAUUGAUCAAUUUCAAACUUCUGUUCUCUUCAUUCCAGGCUCGGGCUCUUCAUCUCUAGUCUCUACUGCAUAUUUAGCAACUCUUUGUAUUCUUGAAACAAAUUAUGGAUUCUCUACUUUACUCGUUCUCGUCUCAUGAACUAAUGUAAAUUCCAAAACGGUGUCACAUUUGGCUUUUAGAUAGAUAAUAGUUUAGGACCUGGUGAUCACAAAAGAAUGCUCGUUUUUCCACAGCAAAGAACAAAGUGCACCGAGACAGUCUUUGAUUAGUUAUAGUUUUAAAAGUUUAGCGAAUUCAGUUUGACGAUGUUGGUGGCAAUGCAGUAAGGAUCUUAAAACAAAAUUACUCCCAAGUCAUGUUUGUAACACUGGUGUUCGUGGGAGAUUCGCUGGAUUAUGGACUAUUUUAUGUUUUUCAGUUUUAGAUAAUUAAUGAUGUCGAAUUCGAUAAUUGAUAGAUAAAUUCCAUCUGCUUCUUUUCUAAUCUAAUAUAGAACUCCAGAUACAAGUAUUCAGAGAUGUAUUGGGAUCAAUAACAUGUAUAAGAUGUAUUAUGAUGUCUUCUCCAGAGGAAGAAGUUCGGAAGCAGUUCUGUUCAAAUGUUCCCGGGCUCAGUUUUCAAAGUCUGUCUUCUUCUUCUACAGCUUGGAGAUGAGAGAAAAGACUAUAAUUAGAUAGCUACUAUCUAAGAUGACCCCUCUGCAUAGACUUUUGUGAAACAAACAACUCAUACCUAAUUUAUGAGAGAAUAAGUUACUUCUUUCAUUUUCUUAAAUUUGCAUUCCAGCUCCAAAAGUAGCUCUUAGAGUCUUGGUCUUCAACUGCUCCAGUUUAUGAAAGUUGAAAAGCUAGUAUCCUACAUUUUCUUCAACAAUUUUUUCAAAACGAGAACAGCGUUUCCCUUAAUUAAUUAAAGAGAGGCAGAAAAUGAUAACUUAUGAGCCGGAUUGUUCAAGUUUGAUAAGACAUUAUGAAGGUCAAGGAGUAAACAAAACACAAUUCCAGCCUAUUUUGUACGGUAGUUUUGGAAUUGGUUUUGCCCAGAGAAAACAAGGUCUAAGAAGCAUCACGGAAACAGGAAACUUCAAUUUUUGCUCUUCUUCCCUCAACUCUAGGGAAAAUACUUAAUUAGUUCUUUAAAGGGUUAAAUUUCAAAUUGGUAACUAAAGUGAAGCCCAUAUCUCACUUUAGUGACUCGACUUAUCGGGGACUCACAUGCAUCAUUAUAGUAAUGAAUUAUUAUAAAUAUGUUAAUUUUUUUAAUUGUAUAGACGGAAACCAAAACGUGGCAUACAUGACUUUGACAUAUAAGAUUAGAUUAUGACCGUUUGACUGUCCUGCCUGGCAACAAACAACACUUACAUUCUAUCUCCAUUCUUCCAAUUUCCGAUGCCAAAUCUAAUAUAUAAUUCAUGGACGAAGAAAAAAUAUCUACUUAUAUCAAGAAUAAAAAUAUAUUUUCUUAUUAAUAAAAAUAUAUACGUAUAUUAUAUAUAGUACUUUAUUUGAUUAAAUAAUUGUUUGUUUGUUUAUUUAUCUUCAAUUCUUUAAUUUUUGUAUAAAAAUUAUAUAAAUAUUUAAUAAGAAUUUAACAUCUAUAGCCAUCAAAAUUUAACUUAUGUAGUUUCUUUUACAAUUUAUAAUUUAAUAUUUGUUUGUAAAUUAAUUUUAUAUUAAAUAACGUAAACAAUUACAUAUACUAUACUUAUUCUUUAUAUCUGACCAUUUUUCUGAAAACACACAUUAAAAUUACUAUACAUAAUAUUUGAUCGGGAAAAAAUCAUAAGAUAUACUAUAUAUUUUGUUUAAUAUAAUAAUGGGUAGAUUUACAGGUACUUUAGAAAACAUGGAGGAUUAUUAUUAUUUUAUAAUAAAAUCAUAUAUAUAUUUUUUAAAAAUUUAUAUCUAAAUUUAUUUAAUAAUAUUGUAUAGAUUAUGUCUGAAUAAUUUAUACUUAAAUUUAUAUAAAAAUAAAAGUAUUUUUUAAUUAAUUGAUCUUUUUAUAUUUAUAUCUUAAAUUUUAAAGUACAGAGAAAAAAAAAAGCUUGAGACAUGUCGGAGAAAUGUCUUUGAACUAGUAUUUUAUUUAACUAAAAAUUUCAAAUCUCUCGGCCGUAUCAUCAGUGCCUUUGUUAAGUAUGUUUUAAUCUGUUUAUAUGUUUUAAUCUGUUUUUAUGUUUUAACUGAGUUGGACUCCACGUAGAUACCACCUUUUUAGAUUAGAAACAGACGUUAGUUUUAAGAUGAUUUCCGUCAGGUCAACGGUCAAACUAACGUUUCUGUAAUAAUUCAUUACUAUAGUGAUGCAUCUGAGUCCCCGAUAAAUCGAGUCAUCAAAGUGAGAUAGAGACUUCACUUUUGUGACCAAUUUGAGAUUUAACCCGUUCUUUAAAUUAGUCGACUUUUCUGAAAAACUCUGUAACUAGUAUGGAGACCCGAAUGUGUAAGCUCUAACGGUAUGGAUUUGCUUGAUCUCUUCGUGGUGAUUCCAUAUCAGAUAUGUCAGUUUUGCAAGAAAUUUAAUAGUCCGGUGCCGAAAAUACCAACAAAUAUCAUUUCACCCCACAAAAUCACAAAAUCUGGACUUGUUACUCAUCAUCAUCCAAAGCAAGCCCGGUCCAAUAAUAUAGUUCUGGCAACUCCAUUGUUGAACACUUUUGAUUAAGUUGGCAACAAGAGGCCCUGUUUUAGAGGUGAUAAUAUACUUUAGAGAGAAGACUUUUAGCAGUGACCCAUUGCAUGAAUAAUUGAAGAAAGAAACUUCAGCAUAUUUGCCUAUCUUAAUCUAUCUGUUUUUCUAGUCAUCAACAGACUCACUCAACAUAUGUAUCAGGCACAAGCUGUUGAAUUUUAUCUGUUCUUAAUUGGUAUAACCACAACUAACUGAGCAAAAUAUUUACAUAAGUUAGUUGAAACCACUGGGGUGUAAGCAGCCAAGUUAAUAAACCAGCAGUUUCUGCAGCUUUCACAACGUUGCUUCAUAUUAUUUUCCCCCUUAUUAGAUGAGCAAUAUAUUUGUGGAAUGGAUGUACCUGAAUUUGGUAUCCGAAGCUUAGUUAUAGAAAUUGUCGAUCAGCUAGUUUGCAACUUACUGAGAAUGCUUUCCAUUGGACUUGAUUUACUCGUAGAGAAGCAGCACGCAAUGUUAAGGAAGGCCUGAUACAUAAUGUAUUUAAGAUAAUGUUUUGCAUCAAUUAUUACAAAAAGCUACUACUUUAAAUUGAUGAACAUUUACUAUAGCAGUACUGUGGUAUUAAAGUGAGUACUAAUAUUAGAUGUUAGUCGAGUUCGAGGAAGUUUUGGAAUUCUUUUUAUUGAGAGUUUUUGCAAAACGUGGUUAAGAAAUUGAGAAAUUUGAGUUUUAAAAUUAGCUGUAAAAAAUAUCGGUCAAUUGUAUUAGAUAUUACAUGCAUUUGAGUUUUAAAAUUAGCUGUAAAACACUUAUAAUUUAUGUCCAAUUUGAGUAAUAAAUCUCUUAUUAGUAAUAAAUCUCUUAUUAGUACUUUCAACUAAAUAUUUCUCCUAAACACUUAUAAUUUAUGUCCAAUUUUCAUAUUAUUUCUUUUAGAAAGACUAUUGUAUUAUUUUGAAUUUUAGUAAUUAGAUUAUUUUUAUUUUUUAUGAAUUUCAAAUUUAAAAAACUUAAUAUUUUUGUCACGCUACUUCUUAUUUGUAAUACAAAUUAUUUCUAGAUAAAAUUAAUAUAUUAAUAAAUAUAGUGUAAACUACAUAUAAUACAAAAAACUUUUUUUGUAUUAUAAUAAAUAUAGUGUACUACAUAUAGUGUAGUACACUUUUUUCACAUGCAAAAAACUGCACUGUUUCGGUUUAAGCAAAGCUUGACAAUCAGGACUCCUGGCUGGAAUUGCGAGUAUUAUUCCUACGAAGAAGAUGAUGUUCAUGAUAUCCCUUCACCCCCAAAGACAAUGAAUUGGAGCAUGAAUUCUGAUUACUGCAUGUGGGAUGGAGUUAGCUGCGACGAGGAUACAGGGCACCUAACCGGAUUCAAGCUGCAGUCAUCUGGUGCAUUGGAAUGAAAUUAUAGAACUUCUUCAGAGCCUGAUGCUCUCGAGGAUGCACUAAUGAACAAGCCUAAUGAUGAUCAUGAGUCAUAACUCCGUCCUUGAAUAAAGUAUCAUGAAACAUAUUUUGUAUUACAUUUUGUAUUAUUGGAAACUUGAUUUGAAACCAAAAUAGUUUGGUGGAAUCAUUGCCAGGGAAUUGGGUCUGAAGAUAGAGGAUGGAGAUUAAAUUCCGAUAGAUAAAGAUUUGUGGUAACGUUUUAUGUCAUGUUAACUGUCACCCAUGUAGUGAAAAUAACUUGAAAUGAUGAAAUUUAUAUUAGGAAGGGACCAGAUUAGCUGCACAAUGCAUUCAGUUCGCAGCAAAGAAGAUUUUGUUGAGAGGGUUUGAAGGAAAGGACAUGAUUCACAACAUAGACUUAUAAUUCAAUAACAGAGUAAUUCUUCAGAGCCAGAGUCUCUUCCAGACGCUCUCUUCUAAUAAAUAUCCGGUGAAGUAAAAGCAUUAGUCAUCACUCUGCACUUGCUCUAAGUUUUGAUACAAACAUCUUUUUGUGAUGUUAACACUCUCGUAUCAGUUAUUGUACUCAUAGUUAUCUGGUAUGGGCGAAAAAUAUGUGCGUCGGCCAUGAAGAGUCAUGAUUUAUUGAUUCUUUUGUUAAAUGUUUAUUACUAAAUAACAACAUACUCAGACACACAUAUAUACAUGCAUUCACAAAAUUUGAACUCUCAGACUUUUUUUUUAUCGAGUAGCUGGGGAUAUCUGAUUCUUGCUUAUUUUUCAGACUUGAUGGUUUACAAAGGAUUUACAAAUUGAUUUUGUUCAAAUAUUUAACACAAGCCCAUCAUCAUUAUCCAACACAAGCCCGGUCCAGUAUAUAGUUCUGGCAACUCCAUUGUUGAACACUUUUGUUGAAGUUGGCACAGGUCAAAAAUGUAUAUUUCUUCCAAGAGAUUACAUCUCUUUUCUUCAAAAUUUAUUGUAGUUUCAAAAUGUUUCAAAAUUCAUUAUUUUUCCACUCCUUUGAAUGCCAUUCUACAAUCCACAUAUCAGUACUCAGACUUUCACCAGUGAACCAUUGCAUAGAUAAUUGAAGAAAGAAACUUCAACAUAUUUGCAUAUCUUUAUCUAUCUUUUUUUCUAGUCAUCAACAGGCACAAGCUGUUGAUUUUUAUAUGUUCUUAAUUGGUAUAAGCAUUUAAGGUGAGUGUUGAUAUUUCUCACUAAUCUUCUUCUGCUCUAAGUGACAUAUUAUUACAAUCCACAAAUUAGUAGACAGACUAAUAUGGUUAGUUGAGACCAUCAAUCUGGAGAACAGACUAAUACAUGUGUAGUAAUCUGAUCAUCAUUUAUUUGAUUACAAUAGAAAUUCGGCUUUGUUUAGUUCCAUCCUCGGGCUCUUCAUUUCUAGAACAUAUUUGCUGAUACUUUUUAUUGUACAAUUUAGAAUAUUCCAUAAAAAUUUAAAUUCGGUGCUAGAUGAUUUUAUGUCCGGCCUGUUUUCAUUCCAUUCAUGAACUAAUGGAAAUUUUGAAAUUGGGUCAUAUUAGGCAGUGAUGCCACCUUUCUGGACCUGCAUUUCAUGACCACAAACUCCUAUUGUGCCAAAAAAUUCCAGCUGUUUCGUGAGAUUUUUCUACGUGCUCUUUUGUUCGGACUUGUUUGCUGAAUCCCACAAUAGACAAUAUUGAUGUUAACAACUCUUGCGUCAGUUACUAGACUCGUUGUUAGUAGCCCAUUCUUUACGGCAGACGUGGAAUUUACUUGAAGAAAUGAAGGUGUAAGAAAGUUGAGAACAUUUUGUUGAUUAUUCCCUUCCCUAGAAACUGCACUCCGCCAUCAAAGUAUCUUUCAAAGACUCCAGCAUCAUUUCUUGAUUAUCAAAGUCUUCGUCUUUGCCAUCUCCUGCUCUGAAAGUGCUUCUAUUGCAGACCACAUAUUAGUAGACAGACUACUAAAAUUCAUCUAAAAUGACCUCUCUGCGUGGGCUCUUUUGAACAAUCAGGGUUGGACAUGAUUCUACACGCAUCAGAGAAAAACUAUCAGCUCGCUAAAAACCUCUCUGCAUCAACUCUAUUGAAAAAAGAAACUAUGGCUCAUACAGUUUAAGUUGAUAUCAAAUAGUAAAUGAGAAUACUUGCAGUUUUAAAUUACUGCACACUAUUUUUUUAACGAAAAUAUGUGCAGUUUUAACAUAGUCUAAUUAUUUUCUUGAUGACGGCUAUGCAAAUUGUGAUAGUUGAAAAUCUUUUUAUGGUCUUUGACAAGCAUCAAGGAAAUGCAGGAAGGUUAUUUAUCGGCUGAUUAAUCUCUUUCUUUGUUUCUGAAAUUCCUUACAUUAGAUCUGUUGAGAGUCUUUACUGGGGAUAAUCUUCUGUCACUGGAUCUGUUGAGGUAACUUUGGGAUAAAGUACUGUCUCUAUUACAUGGAAGUUUGAACUGUUUCAUAUUUUUUAGACAACUAAAUGCACUUACAAACUCGACUUGUGUUUGAAAAGGUUCAAACACUCGAACCUUGAAAAGAACGAGAGAGAUAUUAUUGGAUCCAGAGGUCUUUAGUCAGGUCUAGUGCUUUCUUAAAUUAAUUUCCUAAAGUUUCAGUUAAGAUGUGAACCAAAGCUCUUGGAGGUGGUUCUCAUUGCUCUCUUUGUUCCAAAUUGGACUUAAAAAUUGUUGUGUGAUCCCAAGUUGCGGGUUUACUGAUGAGAACAAUAAAUAUUCAACUGAUGAUACCGAAGCGGCAGCAAUACUGCAAUUUCUUGUAAUAAUCAGAAGUACGAGUACAGAGCAAUGUCAAUAUGCUGGAAACUAUUCAGGGAGCCAUCACAGCUUAAUACGCCAAAAUACAAGACAAUGCAUAUGAACAUGGAACACUUGUUUUCUUUAUCUAAAAUUUUCUUUUGUAAAACAAAGCACCUUAUGUUGAUUAAUCAAUGAUAGAAAGUGAUAUUGCCGUAAACAGGUCAAGAAUUCAUUUUGUAGCUGUCUUCUUGCUCUUUUUAUUUUUCUUGCAUAUACUGAUAUACACUGAAUAUAGGUUUCUUUCAUUUCCUUGAAAUUGCAUUUUUGGAAGUAGCUCUCCAGACUCAUUCCCGUCACUUCUCAAAGUCUUAUUCCUCGUCAAUACUACAUACACAUAAUAUCACACAUAUUUGCUCAUGCUCAGAUGGGUUUUUCUUACAAACCACACAUGUUCACUUCUCAGAGUCUUAGUCCUCGUCAAUGUAUCUAUGUAUCUAUGUAUAUAUUAUAAAUCCUGAAUAGUGCCACGUCAUCAAUGCCACAUAUUUCAAAAAAAAGUCCACAUUGAUCCCACAGAUUUUAGAUUUUGCCAUGUCAUUAUAAUUUCCCUUAUUGAUUUAAGCGUAUCAGAAUAAUCAAUCACAUAUCUUUGAAUUCCUAAAAUUGAGUGUAAUCAAUGACCGACAAUUAUAUUAAAUUUUGCAUGGUAAUGCAAUAACUACAUUCCAUAAUCAUAGCAUUUUUUGAAUGUUAAAUUUGUACGGAACUAAUUAAAAUUGAAAAAGAUAAUUAUAUUGAAUAUACUGCCACAAUUGUUAAGCUUAUCAUGUAUCAUAUAACUACGCUUUAAUUAUAUUAACUUAUAUAUAAAUAAAUGAAGUGCUUAAAAAUUAAAAUUGAAAUUUAUAAUUAUAUUUUUAUUUAAUAUUUAAUAUCCGAAAUUCGUCUAAAAUUUAGCUAUGUUACAAAUAUGUUGCUUUUUAAUUUUCGGAAUGAUAUAUAUUACAUUUUCUAACAUAGUGAAAUAAGUAUUAUAAAAAGUAUUUUUAUAAAAAUAUUACGUCAUUAAUUAGUAUGUAUUAAGCAUUUUAUGUAGGUCAACUUAAUCAUAGUAGAUAUGUACUAUUACUUAGAGACAGCAAUCGGGUCGAUCGAAACGGGUUUCGCAAAUUCCAAAAUUGAAUCCAAACUAUAUUAUAAAUCCUGAACAAUGCCAAAUCAUCAAUGUCACAUAUUUCAAAAAAAAACCAAGUCAAUGGCAUCUAUUUUAAAUUUUGUCAUGUAUUAAUAGUACGUAUUAAACAUUUUAUGUAGGUCACCUUGAUCAUAACCAAUCAGAUGUCCUAAGAUUCCUAAAAUUGUGCGUAAUCAAUGGGUCGGUCGAAACGGGUUUCACAAAUACCAAAAUCGAACCCAAAUUAUAUUAUAAAUCCUGAACAGUGUCAAAUCAUCAAUGCCACAUAUUUCAAAAAAAAAGUCCACAACAAAAACGCCUAUUUUAAAUUUUGACGUGUCAUAUCAUAUUCCAUAUUUAUUUUAGACCAAUCACAUGUCCUAAAAAUCCUAAAAUUGGGCGUAAACAAUGACUGACAAUUAUAUUAAAUUUUGAAUGGUAAUGCAAUAACUACAUUCCAUGUAUCAUAGCAUUUUUUGAAUUUUGAAUUUGUACACAACUAAUGAAAAUUGAAGAAGAUAAUUAUAUUGAAUAUACUGUCACAAUUUUUAAGCUUAUCAUGUAUCAUAUAACUAAGCGUUAAUUAUAUUAAUUUAUAUAUAAAUAAAGUGUUUAAAAAUUAAAAUUGAAAUUUAUAAUUAUAUUUUUAUUUAAUAUUUAAUAUCCGGGAGUCGUCUAAUAUUUAGCUAUGUCACAAAUAUAUCAAUUUUUAAUUUUGGGAAUAAUACAUAUUAAAGUUUCUAACAUAGUGAUAUAGAUAUUAUAAAAAGUAUUUUUAUAAAUUUUAAUAUUACGUCAUUAAUAGUACGUAUUAAACAUUUUAUGUAGGUCACCUUGAUCAUAGUAGAUAUGUAUCACUGUUACAGAUAGCAAUCGGGUCGGUCGAAAUUGGUUUCGCAAAUACCAAAAUUGAACCCAAACUUGAAAAUUUUAGGAAUCUUAAACCUGAACUUGAAGGAUAUUACACGAGUAAUUAUUAUUUAUUCAACAAAUAAUAUUAAAUAUAUAUAAAAUAUUAAAUAUAAAUAUCUUAAUUUUGUUUUAAUUUUAUUAUAUAUUAAAUAAUAAAUAUAUUAUAAAAGAUAUUAUGUAUGUAUGUAUGUAUGUAUGUAUGUAUGUAUGUAUGUAUGUAUAUUUGUAUAUUCGGGUUCGGGUUCGAAAUGAGUUCCGGAUUUUCAGGUCGGGUUCGAAUCAAACCUGAUUCUGCCUGGUCCGAAAAUUAUUCGGGUUUAAAAACAAAUUUUUAUCCGAAACCCUAUAAUUUGGGUUUGGUAAAACACAAUCCGCUCGGUACGAGUUAGACUCGGGUUGGGUAGAAUUGUGACUGCCCAAUACCUCAUGAAACAAGAAUGUAGUAUAACUAACUAUCAUUAUAGUGGAUGGUCAUUCAAAUCUAUUUAUUCGAUUUGACGUAUAAUUUUGAUGUUCGUAUUAACAUAAUGUUUUGUUUGAUAUAUAAUUUUAGUUUAAUAUUGUUUGACAUAUAAUUUCACUUGAAUUUUCUUGAUAUAUAAUAAACUUAAGUAUAAGAGAGUUAUGUCUAAUAUAAUUUUUUUCUUCCUACUUUAUACUUUAUUUGAAAAUUCAAAUAUAAUUAUUUAUUAAAUGUAUUUGUGAAAUAAUAACAACAAGAUUCAAUAAAAAUUUGAAGCCCGUGCGCGGAGCGCGGGCAAAAACACUAGUAGAGAUAAUAUCUCACCAAUUUGCUUACAAACCACACAUGUUUUAGUUAUAUUUUUUGGUUUGGUACUCUCUUUUGGUACUACAAGUCUACAAAUGUGGAGUUUAUUAGUAUUAUAUUGUUAAAUAGUUUCAAAUACUAAAAACACUUAUAACAAUCCAUUAUCAUAUAAUAUUUCAUUAAAAAAUUAUAAUGAUAUUAUAAAUAAGAUUAUAAAUAUACAAUUUUGAAUAUCUUCUUUUAAUAAGAAUCUUCAUAUAACUUUUUUUACUUUAACGUGUUCUAUUUCAAUAUAAACACGAACCAUUACAUAACUCUUUUUAACUCUAAUCUUAAAUAUUAUUGUUGUCAAAAAAAUCAAGAUUACAAAAUUACGUUGAAAUUCGAUUGAUUAGAUUACUGAAUUUUUCAAAGGUAAUACUCGAUCAACUAUGUUUGGAAAAGAUUUAAAUUUUCUGAUUUUUUUUAUUUUUAAAUCUACGUGUACUAAAUUCGGAUUAAAUGUACUAAAAUCAUGAGGGGUUAUCCAUUUUCGAGUAAUCUGGAGAAAAUAUAUUCAGUUGAAUAAUAUAAUUUAAUUAAAAUUCAAUCCAUUGUUACUAAAAUAUUAAUAAAAUGAUGUUAAAAUUUAAAUUAUAAAUAAUAAAUUAUGAACUAUAUAUCCGCCCGUACUUCACACGGGUUAAAAGGCUAGUAUCAUAUUAUUUUCUAAAGAUUUGGUGCAGCCCUGAUAUUUCGCAACACGGAACCCUGAUAAUUGAUAUGCAGUGUUCCAACGUUCUUGCGGACCAUGUGUAAGUAGAAAAAUUAUCUAAAAUGACCUCUAUCCAAUGUGCGUGCAUGGACCGAACUCCGAAGUAUCUCAUACUUCAUGCAUGUACGGUGACAAACCUGACUCGCGUACAUCAUAUAAAAAAUUUCCAUGUAGUUAAAUUGACCUAUCUAUAUCACGGUGUGUCGGAUAAGCAUAUGAAAGUUGAAGAAACAAAGCUUUAAUAAAGUUGAGAAGAUUUCAAUACUAAUUAUUUCCCAAAUCUCCAUCUCCAACUUUAAACUCCUUUUGAAGAUAUUCAGUUGAAGAAAAAACUCGCAAAUUGUUUUAUUUUAAAAAAGUACAAAAAAUUGACAUCCUCUUCCAUUUCUUAAAACUUCCAUUUCUUAAAACACUGAUCAAAUCGUAUCAUAUUAAGUUUUAAUUCUGAUAAAAACUUAUUAUAACAUGAUUGAUUAAUUUAAAAAAUCUUCAUUUAUCGUGUACUAAAUAUUUUAAUUCUCUAAAAAAUGUUUAUAUAAUCGGAGAAUAUUUUUAAUCAAAUUACUAAAAAGAAUUUAAUAUUUAUGACCAAAAAAAUUAUUAUUUCUUCAAGUUACUUCUUAUUUGUAGUAUAAAUUAUUUACAGAUAAAAUUAAUAAACGAAUAAAAAAUAAUAUAUUUUAAUUAAAUAUAAACUCUCCACAUUUUGUGCUAUAUAUAUGCUAGAGAUGUUAAAUAGAUCUAAUCCCAAACAAAAUUUUUGAAGGAAAAAUGAAAAUGCAAAAUUUCAUCCUCUGUUUUUUCACGAUCAUUGUGAUGCUCGUCUUCUUGCAGCACAACCUAGUGGCUUGUUCAUUAAGCCCCCACUUGCAGAAACUUGCCUUGUUCCACUUUAACCAAACCUUAACAAUCAGUACUAGUAGCUACCUAGUGGAUUGCGAGUACCAUUCCUACGAAGAGAAUGCGCUUUAUUAUAUUCCUUCACGGGCAAAGACAAAGAAUUGGAGCAUGAGUUCUGAUCACUGCACAUGGGAUGGAGUUAGCUGCGACCACAAGACAGGGGACGUUAUCGGACUCGAUUUAAGCUGCAGUCAGCUGGAAGGAGCCAUUCUUCCUAACAGCACUCUCUUCCAGCUCUCUCAUCUCCGCUUCCUCAACCUUUCUGGGAACGACUUUUACGAUCAGUUCCCUCAGGAAUUUGGUUUCUUUGCAAAAGGUUUGACGCAUCUCAACCUCUCUAAUACUUAUUUAUCAGGGAGAGUUCCCUCGGGAAUCUCUUAUUUGCAUAAACUGGUCUCACUUGAUCUCAGUCGCAACCAUGAGGCUAAACUUGAAGAAGAAGUGUUUAAAUCAGUGUUGCAGAAUUUAACUCAUAUCAGAGUGCUUAAUCUUAAUAGAGUUAACAUCUCCUCUGUUUUGCCCGUGAAUAUCUCUACUUCUUUAAGAGUUCUUCAAUUGAGGUAUACUGAUAUACACGGAGUACUACCCCAAGAGGUUUUCCACCUUCCCAACUUGGAAUUUCUUGAUUUAUCAUUUAAUCCUGCCCUGAGAGCAACAUUACCCAAAGUUAAGUGGGGAAGUAAAGCUACUCUCCGACACCUUCUUCUUACAUACAUCAACAUAGAUGGAGGUAUACCUGACUCUAUAGGCUUUUUGGAGUCAUUAGUCACUUUAGAUCUGAUCGCCUGUAAUUUGUCUGGGCCGAUACCAAGAUCCAUUGGGCAACUCGUUCAACUUACUCUCUUGGACCUGUCUGAUAAUAAUCUCAGUGGCCCAAUUCUAUCUUUUUUAACACGCCUUGCAGACUUAAGAUAUAUCUCCCUUGACCGUAACAAUUUUACUGGUCCGUUUCCCUCUUUUCUUGCCCACUCCAGUAAACUAGUUGAGUUGUAUCUUGAUAGUAAUAGCUUUACUGGAUCCAUACCUCGUUCGUUGUUUCACCAUCCAUCCUUAGAGUACUUGUUUCUGGAUAGUAAUGCAUUCACGGGUCCACUACAUGAAUUUGAUUCUUCUUUCUCACGAUUGCGAUCUUUUUCUUGUUCCCACAAUUCACUCUAUGGAUCCCUUCCACAUUCAUUUUCUCAACUUGUCAAUCUCACUAGCCUAGAUUUAUCAUCAAACAAUUUCAGCGGGGUUUUGGAUUUGGAAAUGUUUUCAGGCCUCGAAUCUCUACAAUAUCUUGGACUUUCUCAUAACAGUCUUUCAGUGACAAGUACAAUCAGGGGCACUCUCCCUCCUACGCUUAACUACUUGGGCUUGUCAUCUUGCAACAUGAAAGAGUUUCCUCACUUUUCAAGAGAUGCAAACAUCUCCCUGGAGUUUGUAGACCUAUCAAACAAUAACAUUGAAGGGGAAAUUCCACACUGGAUUGGGUCAGUGUGGUACUCUGAGUAUUAUAACUUGCCCUAUCUGAAUCUUUCUCACAACAAACUAAUAGGCGGUCUUGAGCAACUGCCUUGGGGUUAUCUUACUUAUCUUGAUCUCCAAGACAAUAAGCUGAAUGGAUCGUUGCCCACCUUGAUGUGUAAUUCCAGCUCUCUUGAGAUUCUAAAUCUCUCUCACAACAAGUUGAGUGGUGUACUACCCAUUUGUCAUACAAAUUUGACUCCGCUUUCGGUUUUGGAUCUGCGGAGGAAUAACAUUCAAGGAAACAUUCCAGCAACCUUGUCAAAUUUCUGUAAUCUGGAAACUAUUAAUUUGAAUGGAAACCAAUUAGAAGGAAGCAUUCCUUCUUCUUUUGCUCAAUUUGAUUCUUUAGCCGUUCUUGAUCUUGGAAAUAAUCAGAUAAAUGAUACAUUCCCCCGGUGUUUGGAAGCUCUUCCAAAUCUCCAAGUUCUUGUUCUCAAAUCAAACAAGUUUUAUGGUCUUAUAAACACGAGUUCUAAGAUUGUACACCCAUUUCCUAGCUUGAGAAUCAUUGAUCUGUCGGAAAAUGAGUUUUCAGGUCCACUGCCAGCAAAAUACUUCAGAAACUUCAAGGCUAUGAUGAAUAGUGAAGUGAAUGAGGUAAAGCGUAGUUAUAUGGAGCAUCAGUAUUACAGUGAUUCCACAGCUCUAGUGAUUAAAGGCAUGGAGAUUGAUUUAGAAAGAAUUUUGACUGUGUUCACAACUAUUGAUGUAUCGAAGAACAAUUUUGAUGGGGAGAUAGCUGAAUACUUUGGAAAUCUAGUAUCACUCAGAUUUCUUAAUCUUUCUCACAAUCAUCUCACAGGCCACAUACCACGCUCGAUUGGAAAAUUGACUGUGCUGGAGUCACUAGACCUCUCAUCCAACCAACUUGAAGGAGAAAUUCCUCAGCAGCUCACUAGUGUAUAUUCACUUGCAGUUCUAAAUCUUUCUUGCAACCAACUUAGAGGCCGUAUACCAGAAGGGGCACAAUUCAAUACGUUUGAAAACAGCAGCUACGCUGGUAACUUUGGGCUGUGCGGACAUCCCUUGUCGAAGAAGUGUGAAUCUUAUGUUAGGACACAAGAAGAAGAUGACGAAGAUGAGGAUGAAUGUCACUUUUUCUGUGGUUUUACUUGGGAAGCGGUGGUGAUUGGAUAUGGGUGUGGAGUGGUGCCUGCAUUUAUCACUGGGUACCUGAUGUUGCUGGCAAGGAAACCCAAAUGGUUUGCUGGAAUCAUUGGCAGGGAAUUGGGGCUCAAGAUCAGGAGGAUGGAGAUUAGAAUGCGAUGACU
rnacentral:lncRNA from 1 species